UGAAGCAAAAGGUGGAGUAGGAUGAGCUAUGGUAGCAACUAGCAUAAGAAUAAAGAAGUGGAGGGUAGAGGCUCCACUUGGACCACUCAGCCUUUAGUAUUAGUAGUACUAGUACUGGCGUCAUAUUCCUCUCUGUGGUUGUAUGACAUCUACUGGAGCGGUUGCAUACUUGCAUGUAAUAAAUAUCCCUGCUGGUUGCUGGACCCUAUCAUAUUAUAUAACUUUUACCCUCUCUCUCUCUCUCUCUCUCUCUCUCUCUAGUGUCCAGGAAAGAGAAAAACACAGAAAAAAGAAAAGGAAACAAACAGGUCUCUGGAAUCAAAUUUAAGAUAACUAGAAAAAUAUGACCAUGAAACAAUAGGAAAGAAGGAUAAGAAAAAAAUAUUUUUCACAAAGUGGAUGUAUAGGCUUCUUUUAAUUAUAUAAAUACCUUUUAAAUCAUAAAAAUUCAUUAGACUCACCAUGGACAGUAUGCAUUAUGUGCAUGCUAUCAAAUAAUAUUGAAAAUGACUGAUGUCCAUGUGAGCUGACUAGCUUUAAUUAGUCAUAAUUAUAAUCUCAAAUCAAAGUAAAAAAAAAUUUAAUAUUUUAGAAGGGGCAUUGCACAAAUUAUGUUAAAUAUAAAAUGAUUUUCUAAACAAGCUUGAUUCUAGCCUUUAGAAGGUAACUCCCUCAUAAUUCAGCUUGGUGUGGUAAUUCCAAAGGGGGCUUUUACCAUGAGCCCAAUGUCGUGGCGAAGGUUAUACCUUAGAAAGUCAGUGAAGCUAAGGUUUCGUAUGUGUUAUAUCCUUUCGAUCGAGCGACAACUUCUAAGGAUCAUUCCCCUCCCCGGUGCUAGAAGGUCGGAAGGAGAAGUGUUAUAAGCUUUGAAUGGAAGCCCCGGUAAACGGCGGCAGUAACUCUACCUGUCCUAAGGUAGCGAAAUUCCUAGUAACUAGUUGUUUAUAUCGAACUCGAAAAUAUAACUUGACUAUUCGGGACAACUAGAGGAACAUUAUUGCCGGCACUAUCAAAGGCCGCUAUUCCAGACCAAAAGUAUGGAAUAGAGUAAGGCCUUUAUUAGAAAAGAUGCAUAAAAACAACUUAAAAAUACUUUUAAUUUAAGAUGGGGUUUAUUUUUUAAUUGAAUAGAAAAAAUCAAAAUAUUUAAUUUUUUCUAUUCAGUUAAAAAUAACAUAUUGAUAUCAAUCAAUAUAAAAAUAAAUUCAAUUUAGUUAUUGUUAAUAUCAACAUAUUACUUUUAACUUAAUAAAAAUAAUCAAAUAUUUCGAUUUUUUAUAUUCAACUAAAAAACAAACAUUACCUAAUACAAAUAUUGAAAUUAUGUAAUUAGAGACUAAGGAGACGAAAUUAAAAAGUGGCAAUACUUUUGUUAAUAAGUUUAUUUUAGUUAUAUUGAUUUAUAUUAUUACUUUUUUAAUAUAAAAAAAUCAAAUAUUUAAUAUAAAAAAAUCAAAUAUUUUAGUUUUUUUUUUAUUCAACCAAAAAACAAACACCUCAAAAUUGAAAUCAUAUAGUUAGAAACUAAAGACAUGAAGUUAGAAAGUGAUAAUUCUCUUAUCAACAAAUUACUUUAGUUAUAUUGAUAGAUAUUAGUAUAUUACUUUUAACUUAUCGGAAGAAAUAAAAUAUUUUAGUUUUUUCCAUCAUUUCAAAAAACAAACCCCAUGUAAGACAAGUAUCAAAAUCAUGUAGUUAGAGACUUGGGACGUGGGGUUAGAAAGUGACCAUACUCCUCUGUUAAGUUUGAAAAUAUGCAUUUGAAAAGAAUUUUGAAAAGAAAAAAAAAAAAAGUUAUGAAAGCAAGGUUAUCAGAAGGAUGCCUUGUUAAUUUUACUGUAAAUUCAGUCCUCGUAUUCAUCGGAGAUAAAAGCCUUUUUAGGUUAUAAUUUUACCUCCAAAUACAUUAAUAUUUGCUACCUCGUAGUGUGAUUGGGGGUCAACCAAAGAAUAGGAAUCAUGGGGAAUUUUGUGCCACACAUUUAUGUACGAAACUAAUAAAUGUAGCUCCCAAUUCGGGUGUAUACAUUUAUCAUUUCCAAGGUCUAGAUUAGCAUGCCUACCAAACAGUCUUUUCUUCAUUUUUGUGCAUUUUUCAAGGAAAUUGAUUUUUAUAUAAAAAUAAACAAGGUUGUGAAAUGAAAGUUCUUUUUGUAUAGCUUCUUGUGUUUAAUUUUAAGGGGAAGUUACACCUAAAACUAAUAUCAUAAUUUUUAAAGAAUAAUAUUGAUAUUAUAUAGUUUUAUUAAAUGUAAACCUUUUAACAUAAAUUAAAAUAAAGGUAAUGUGAAAAGUAAUAUUUUCUUAAUUUUCAUAUUUAAUUUUUUAAAAAUUAUAAAUUCCUUUAACAAAAUAAACCCAAUAAGUAUAAAAGUUCUUAUUGAGUUUAAAAAAAUAACUUAAAAAAGAUCAUCAAUUAAAAUUUCAUGUUUUGAUUCUUUUCAAUAGACAAGUUGAGACAUGUAAAAUUGAAUGCAUUAGCACGCUCUCAGCAAGUAAAGUAACAGAAUUUUCAUUAACUUCCUACUAUUUUUGAAACAAAUCUAAAUACCAUUUACUUCAAACAAAAACCAAGUUAAAAAUUAUCUAACAAUUUCAAAGAUUACACAAACAAAUUUUAGCUCAAAUUAUCUACUAAUCCACUUAUCAAAACAAAGUUAUUUUCUUAGUCAAGAUAAAUAUGGAAAAAUUAACUAAUAAAGAAAUAGAAAGAAUAAAGCAAUGACACCAAGAUUUAACAUAGAAGAUCUUUAAAGAAAUUAAAAACCAUGGAUCUAUAAAUGAUAAAAAAAACAUCCACUAUAAAUAGUAACAACUGUUAUAAGAUUUUACCUAACUCAAGUCCGUCAAUCCUUCUUGAAUCACUUGACUGAUACUUUUCCACUUCAUUUAUCUGUUUUUUUUUCCUUUCAAAACAUACUUAAAGUCCACAUUAAAUUUAAUCUUGACCUCUUCUUAAGUUCACACAAGACGAAAAUAGGAUUUACUUCAACCCAAUAACCCUAAAGAGAGAAUGGAUGAAAGAACCAAAAGAAUUAGUCCAUACUUUAAAAAAACCUCAAUCAAAAAUUGUUGUAAACUUCAAAAUGGAUAGGAGUUUCUUGGGAAACAAACACACUCAUACUCAGAAUGGGAGAGGAGUACAAUGGUUGUGUGUGACAACUAUUGGAGCCUCAACCCUAAAAUGAAGGUUUUGGAUUUAAAUAGGAAGGAAAACCUUAAUCUAAUGACUAAAAAAUAAUACAACAGUAGAUAGAUUGAUCCUGGAUCAAUCUUGGAACAAAGCACAAAAAUACGUAGUUAAAAAAAAACACAAAAGCUACCCAAGUCUCCUAAAACUUCUUUAAAGGAUUUUCACUAUUUUGAAAAUCCCGAUUGAUUUAAUUUUGCCCCUCCACUACCUUAACUACAUACCUUAGUCUCUAAAUACCUUCAACGCCUCAAAGUUCUUUAUUAGACAAAUAAUCGGAGGAAGGAUUUGAUAGACCCAAAUUAAGAGACCGCUCGUGAGCUCUUAGUUGCCCGAAAUUGCCAACUACGACACUCACAAUGGGGCACAACCACUUAGACUCACAACCCCACCUCAUUCCCAUGGCUGGCAGCAUAAUGCACUUAGAUUGCGCGCUCUCUACCACCAAAGCUUGUAGCAUUUUGUUACAUAAAUAUACUGAGCAACAGAGAAGGUAAUUGUUUUGAACUGCUUGGCAAAUUUGUUCUUUGAUAUUGGGUACAAAUGUCUCUUGUUUUUUAAAAAUUUAUAAAAAUAAUGCUAUUAAAUCUGUCAAUAAAAAAACAUUUGAUGGGUUGCUUCUAAAUAAAUGCGGAGCAACGUAAUACUUUUAGUUUUAUGACGUGAAGGCAUAUUAUCUGUCAAGGAAAUCCUACAAUACUCUGAUCAAUUUCGAAAGCAGGACUUCCACAAAGAGCUAACCGAUUUAUUUGCCUUUCUUUUCUCUCACUGCCACAUUGCUGAAUAAAUUAAAGCUUUGGAAAUGAAUAUUCAAUCAUAUAAGGCCUAUCAGGUUAGAUUGGACUUAGAACCAAUACAGCGCAAUGGGGUCUAAACCCAAUCUAAAACACUCAGAGAUCUGGAGUUUAUGGUUGAGUAAGCCCUGUUAUCAUUGGAAUUAACACACGUGAUUCAUUUUCUUCAAGCAGGAUCAACUGUUUGGCUCCUUUCCCAUUCAUCUCAGUUUCAGAUCAUAAUCAUUCCUCAUCUUAAAGAACUGCUUCUCUAUCCUAACCAUACGAGGUGUUUAUUUUGGGUUACUUGUCUGAUAUUUUUUAACUUAGAACAAUUCCUUAGUUUUGAUCAAGGAGUUGGACGUCAAUUUUUCUCACAAACGAAAACCAGCCAGAGAAAGAAAAACACAGAUCCGGGCACGGUAAAGAAGUAUCAGAGCAUUAAGCUAAGCAAUUGCAUACCCUCACACUUGCUCCUAUAGAAACAACCAAAGCUCACAGCAUUUUCAUCAGCAUCCAAACGUCUAAGCCUGCAUUUCUCUUUCGGUGCUAAAAGUUUUUGGGCAGAACAGCCAGUCACUCAUGAUGGCCAGUUCUAGAGCGCUUGAGUUGGCAGGGGCAAUGAUGUUUAUCUGCAUGGCGGUGGUUGCAGCACUGGCAGCUGAAUAAGCCCUAAUAUGUUAUCAGAUGAACAACACCUUCACCAAUGCAGUUCUUUCCUGAGGAACGGUGGUUCAGUCACAGCAGAAUGCUGCCAAGAAGUUAGGACCCUCAACAAUGGAGUUAAGAACACCAAAGACCGCCAGACCACCUGUGUGCUUGAAGAAGGGCGAUAUCCUCCAUUUAUGGAAUCAAAUUGAACUACCUCUCUGAGCUUCCAGGCAAAUGUGAAGUCAGCGUUCCAUACAAGAUUGACCCCUCCAUUGAAUGCCUGCAGGUAUUCAGGGCUCAUGGCUCUGUCUUCUGAGCAGUUGAGCAUUACUUUAAAAUUGAUGAUUUUUACUAUUGUUUUGUCAUUGUGUUGCAGGGUGAAGUAAGGUUGACAAGUUAACAUAUAUGGCACUCAGGAUAUAGUAGAUUGAGACAAAGAUGGACGGAGAGAGACCUAACGGGGACUCCUCUUCAUCCCAGAAAAAAAAAAAGAAAAAAGAAAAAAAGAGAAUGCCCAAAUAUUGCAUCUUUUGCACUACAAAUGUACUGGAUUUGCAUUCUAAUAAAAUAUAUCGUGCCUCAAGCACUUUUAAGUGUACUGGAUCUGGAUUGAAUGUGGUAAACUGUUCCAAUUGUAAUAUUAUCUGGAAUAUACUCAAAGACCACCAACAAAUCACAUCCAAAAAGAUGCAGACAGGUGAAAAUGAGUCAAGGGAUUUUUUUUCCUGUUCUUUUUGCCCCUCUUUUUCAUGACUACAGGCUUCUGAACCCUAGUCCUUGAGACACAGGACUAAUCUCAAUCAGGUAAUCACCCACAAACCCAAGAGAAGAAUUUCUCAUUUGCAUGGCAGGGCCAUGGUUUUUGGUUUAGAAGAUCAACUUAGCCAUCUAAAAGGAAGUAUAGAUUAGCUCAGGUAAUGUGUGGUAAAUAGCAGUUGACAAAUAGACAAACAAAAUCUAGAGAAGAUAAGGGAUUCUAGUUUCAGAGCUGAUUUUGCAAGUUUGCUAAUAGUGCUUAUAAGCUCAAGAAAUAUAAUAAUAUUAAUAUUUGAUCAUCCAAAAAGAACCUAGUGAAUUAUAAGAUGAUAAGAAGUUCAUGGGCAUCUAGCACAAAGAAAAAAAGAAGAAAUAAUAAUGGAGCACCAGUGCAGCACCAUACCUCUUCUUUAAAUUAAGCAUUGAAAUGGGAACCCUGCAAGAAAAGAACUUGCGACUCAUCAUACAACUAAAAAUAAGAAAUGGGAUUGGAGCUUCUCUUUUUGGAUUCAUACCUGCCAGAAAUUUAUUGACUAGAAUUUGUCCUUACAGGAUGUUUUACUCUUUCUAAAUCAGUCACUGUGCUCAAUUGUAAACAAAGUGCUCCACAGCAGGUUGUGGCUCUCGCAAGCAUGAAGCGAAUGCAGAGCUGAGAUAUUGUUGAUUAUCAUUCAACACAAAAGCUCAUGGCUUAAAUAAAACAUCUUUCAGGAAACUGUGUAUGUGUAUAUGAUUAUAUACAAAGGCAUUACUAAUUGUCAGCAAUUGGAAAUAUGGGAAGAAAUAGUUCUAAUGCUAAAAGAAAAGGAUAAGGUGCAUUUAAUUGGAUAUCAAUACAUUAUUUUACCUUUUGAUGGUAGUCUACAUUUCUCCUGUGGCAUUUACAUCUUCAUCAAGUAGAAGUCUCUCUAGCCGAGACACAAGGUUAUUUGAGGAGAAGCUUAAAAGUUCAUUAUCUCUUCUCAGGUCAUUCACUUCCUUAUUUAAAUCUACAAUCUGCCCUUCAAGCUGCUGGCUUGAUAAAAGCUGGUCUCCUAAUAUAUUAUUUUCUCUUCUCAGUUUGUCUAUCUCUUCCAUUAACUUCAUAUUUUGCUCUUCUAAUAACUGAUAUCUUGUUCUCAAGUCAUCCUCCUGAAACACGUAUUUCAAAUAAAUAACUGAUGGGAUGAAAAACAAAUAAAAAAAAGGCAAGAAAUAAAGAUAUACAUACAACACUAAUGGUAAAAUUCAUGGAAGAAUUCUUUGAGGUUGAUGGAUGCUGCAUUUGCUCUUUUGGUUCCUCUGAAACACAACAAGAUGCAGAUGGGCAUCCUGUUGCAUCUGUUAACACUUCUACUACAUUUUCUGGUGCCCUCAAAUGCUCCAGAUUGUUUUCUUGUAUCCUGUGCCCUUCUCUGACUAUUUCCCUUUCUGACCCAUUUUCAACUGCUUGUUUAUCCAUCAAGUGAGAUCUGAUUCUCAAGUUAUCAUCCUGUUAAAUGAAAGAAGUUCUGUCACAAAAACUCAAUAAAAUACUUCAAACAAGCAAGAAGAAUGUUUACAUUGGCAAGAGAAGCCCCCUCCUUUCUUACAUUUUCUUUUAAAAGAAAUAAAACUAAGGAAAAGAACUCACAUCAACAGUCAACAUAAUAGAUGAAGGAUAUUCAGGUUUAGAAACAUCCGUCCUGUCAUUUUGUGCAGCUAUUAACUCUUUGAUUAUAUCAAUUUCUAACUCCUCAGAAGUCAGUUGAAGUUCCCAAGUUAUCUGAUAACAAACAGAAGUUGUCAGCACCUACCUAACAAAAUUAAAACAAACAGCAGUUCAGUUGGAUACAUCAUGAGCUACCAUAUCAAAUGGGUGUCAUGUUAGAACACUAUGGCUAACUCAGUUAAAAGUUUUUGAGGUCUAAAAACAAGCAAAACACUUUUUUGUUGUUUCAAUCAAUAUGCAUAUGCAGGAGACCACAGGACCUAUACUACCACUACAUAAAUUAAUUGUGAAUAUAAAAUCAGUUUAGAUAGGUCUCAUUGCCUGAUUUUCCUGCAGUUCCUUAAACUUUGUAGUGAUCCAUUUUCUUUGAUGUGACCUACAAUUUUCCCAUCGGCAUGCACGGGGAAACGUCAAGUAGCAAUCUAGCAAACUAGGCCGGGCAAUGUCAAUAUGCUCAUAAGACCAUAUCUGUUCAGAACAAUAUAACCAAGGUCAAUAUUGUAAUGAUGCAUAAUAGUUACUUAAAAGAUAAAACAGCCCUUAUAAAUUUUUGCAUUAUACUUGGGCACACCUUAAAUCCUCUGGCACCAAUUCCCCAUGCUGUUUUGCAUAAAUAAUCAAGCAAAACACUGUGCUCCCUACUCAGCCUCUCUUGUGCUUUUAUUUCGCAAAAAUUUUAGGAAGAAAGAGAGAAGAUGGAGGGAGGAAAGAGUGUUGAGGUUGUGUAUGUAAUGUCAUAAAAAAGAUGCUCCAAAUAUUUAUGUGAAGACUAUAGGGAUAGCUCCUUGACUAAACAAGAAACAUAUGACAGAGAAUCAAGAAAUAUUAGAGAUAGAGUUGAAGAAACUUACUUGGAGAAAUAUAAGACAACUUCCUACAUAUUGUACAUUCAUUUCCUUUUUUUUGGACAACCACUUAAUUAUGUCCUCUAGAACAGCUGCACCCCAGGCCAGUUGAUGCACAUUAUCCAAGUCUUUGAGAACAGAAAGAUAUCGGGAAUCUACUUUUCCAUUUGCAUUUGGAAAAAGAAAUGUCCCAAAUGUAAAUAAUAAAAAAGCUCUGGCAAAAUCAUCAUUAGCUAUCUCACCAAUGGACUCAAGUUUAUUCUCAAUCGACGAAACCAUGAUUUUCCUAUUUGAAAUAGUAGCACCAUAUUCUUUUUCUAAAUCUGAAAAAGGUUCAUCUUCCUUUAAGACUACGGAAUCACCCAUUACACGUAGUCCCAGAAUGAGUGCAACAUCCAUGAGAGUAAUUGUAAUCUCCCCAGGAAGAAGUAUGAAAGCAUGCUUCUCACAACUCCACCUUUCCAUUAAUUCAACUAAAAGAUUCUUGUUAAGUGUCUGAAUAGGCAUCUCAAGGAGAUGCCCAAAUCCCAUCUUCUUUAUUGCAUUUCUUUGAUCAUCUGUUAGUUUCUCCACUCGCCUGACAAAUGAUGGCAAGGAAAACCUGGUACUGAAAUUCCCAACCUGCAUGCAUAUAUUAAGUGCACAUUUUUAUUGACAUAAGUGUGUGUUUUCCAUAAUCCUGCAUAUGUCAAUUAUAUGUGUGCUUUAUCUAAGGUUUUAUGUAUGUCACAAAACUAAAAAAGCAUAAGUUAAAAAUUUUUUCUCAUUGCCACUUGUCUUUUAGAGAAGUUCUAUUUACCUACCACCAAUUCUGUUUUUCUUUUUCUGAGUUUGUUUUUUCACUCUAUAACCAAAAUUCUCUUUCAGAUGUCAUCCACAAGUUCAAAAACACUGAAUAAACCAAAUCAACCAAACACUUUGUCCUAUCCUUAGUAACCAUGUCAUUCAAGCUUGAAAGAAGUAGAUAGCUUAGGAUACUGAGUUAUAUUCCAAAACACUUUGUCUAUUUACCCUUGUUGUAUUGAUCAUUUUUGCAUCUUAAGUAAUGAUAGCUUAGAUAGAAUCAGUAUUGAUUAAUACAAGACAAUCCAAUCAAAUACGCAAAAGACAACAUCCAACAAAGCUGAACAGCAAAAGAGGAUGCUUGUUUAGUGCAUAUUGUGAUAAUAUAUUAACAGAAGAGUGUGAGAUGGACAAGUGGAAAGAACCGAGGAAGUUAAGACAAAUAUCAAAUGCAUUUAAGAAGCAUCAAAACCAACACUGCUUGUGCUUUUAAAGUAUAUGAAGUUUGAUCACUAUGUUUUGAAAUGUUAUAUAUCCUUUCAAAAGUUUCACUCUUUUAUACAAAAGUAGACAGGUGAGAACCUCUUCAGAAAAUUUCAGCAAGCCAGAAGGGAGCAGGUUGCAAGUGCAAGACAGAGGUACUAGAGGGGCAGUAUGAAGCUAGGAAAUUGAUGACAUUCAGUAGAAAAACCUGCUAUGCUGAUGACCAAUUGGUGAGAUGAUGAAAAUUAUCUCAUCAAACACAAAUUCUUGACAAUGCAGAAAAUAGAACCAUGCAUAUAAAGGUAUAAUGCUGUUGAAUGAAUGAGUGUUGCAAAUGUUUUGCUUGAGUUUGGUUGUUUGAUUCCCAGAAAGUAUUAAGAAAAUUUUAAAAAAAAUAUUAAGGAAAAUGAUUUAUGCACAUUUUGUUUCACUAUGAAAAAUAGUGCAAGAAAAUCAAACACAAUUAAAAUUAGUUAAAAAAUAAUGCAUUUUCCCUCAAAUUUUCCGGAACCAAGAAUGGCUUAAGGUAUAUAAUUUCCAAGUCUUUGUUUACUGCUACUAUAGAACUAUAUUCCCUUCAAUUUUUUUUUAUUUUUUAAGUUUCAAUUGAAAAGAAUUCUACUUUAGGGUUAUGAACGUUCAAUAGGUCUUCUACAGCAAUUUUGUUGUUAGGUCAUGGCAAAAAUACAUGCUUUUUAUAAAAAUAAAAAUAUGGGGAAGACUAGGUACCAUGAGACCAUCCUGAAGUGCCAAUUCAUGACACCCAGGAUUCAAGUCCCUGUAUGGCCACUUCCACAAACUCAUCCCUUCCAGAAUCCCAGAAACAGGGCCACGAAGCAAUGGAUUUUAUGAGCCUUUCAAUCACAAAAAAUGCACUCAGAUCACAAUUUGCUCAAACAAAAAUUGAUACUCUCCACAUGUGUUUCUACGAAUCGCUACUCCCACAGACACAAAAUGACUAAUUUCUGUAAUUUCCAGGUCCAGGUCUCCACAUCAGCCAAGUGAAAUUUCUAAAUUUUUUUCCCAAAUUGAUAUCACAAAAUUUUAAAAAAUAAAAUAAAAUAAAAUAAAGAAAAGGGGGAAAGAAAGAACGAAAUACUUACCGAGCUCCGUUCUUCUUCUAAUCCUAUGGAAGAUUUCCUCGUCGCUCUCUUCAUCUCAACCCAAUCCUUUCACACUCCUACUGUGAACCCUAACUUUCUCAGGGCUUGAGAAGGAAAAGAACAACCAUUUGAAAAUCUUAAUAAAUCUUACUCGGAUAAUUUUUAUUUUUUUAUUUUAUUUUUGUGAAACUUGUGAUGGAAGCUUACAGGCAAAGUUAAAACUAAAAAGGGCGCGAAAAAAUGGCGGGACAUGAUUAGGUGCUUUGCGUUCACAUACGUGGCUUCUGGUGAUUGCAGUGCAGGUAAAAAUUUCGCUGACAAGGUUACCAUCCGUAAUUGGAUUUUGUGGUCCUUGUUGGAAGCUUUGAUUGAUUUUAAAUUUUAAAAUGAAAUUUUCAUGAUAAAUUUAAAAUGUAAAUUUUUUUUUUUUUACCACAAAUAAUAAAUAUUAAAAUUAGAUUUUUUUUUCCAUUUUUGGAUUCUUAAAGACAUUUUCUGUAAAUAAUAUUUUUUGAGUUUCAUUAAUAAUAUUAAAAAAUGUAUAUGCUUAGCGGUGUAAAAAAAUAUACAUAUUAAGUUCCCAAAAAGUAAAAGAUUGUAUUUUAAAAUCACUUUAUUGUUAUUAAUGAUAAUUAAUAAAGAUGAUUCACAAAAACAUGCUAUCAAAUAAUACAAUAUCUUAGAUUUGUCAUAUGUUUUGUGCCAAAAAAAUGUGUCUGAAAGUCCCAAAAAAAGGGUAAAAAAUGAAUUUUAAAAGCAUUUUCUUAUCAUUAACAAUAAUUAAUAAAAAUAAUACCACAAAAACAUGCUAUCAAAUAAUACAUUAUCUAGAUUUAGACAUAUCUCGAUAUUAGUGGUGAUGAUGUGCUUACAAUAUGGUUAAAAAUCCCAUAGAGGUGUACCCUACAUCUACAAUCUAAAAGUCCUCGUUCAAGACCUGGAGAAAGAAAAAGAAAUAAUAGCAUGUGUGUCUACGCAUAUGCACAUUUGUACUGUAAUGCCCGGCUAAAAUCAUAAUUUAGAAAUUAUUAAUUAAUUAAAAUAAUUUAAUAAGGGUAAAAAAGCAUUUUCGUAUUUAAAACACCUAUAUAUAUAUAUAUAUAUAUAUAUAUAUAUAUAUAUAUAUAUAUAUAUAUUAUAUCUUUCCUAUAUUUUCUAUUCAAAAAAUCCUUUUACACAUAGAUCAAAAAAAUCAGAGAGCAUAGGGUUGAAGGUUUGAAGGUUUAGGGUUUGAAGAUCAAUUUUUCAGGUAAGAUUUUUAAUCUUUAAAUUAAUAUUUUAUAUUCGUUAACUAGUUAUAAACACUUUAGAUAUUCUUUGAAAUAUCUUAAUUUUGAUUAGAGUUCAUUUAAUUAAUUUAUAGGUCAAAAAGAUUAAAAAUUUAUUAACAUAGUUUGAUUUAUUAAUGAAGAUCAAUAAAUUUUGAUUACUCAAAUGAAUAGAUUUAGAAAAAAAAAUUAAAAAAAUUAUAUAGUUUUGGAUGUGAAAAUUACAUAAAAUUGUGAGUAUAGAGGUUAAAAGUUUUGACUUUAGAGAGUGGAAAAAAAUGAUGAAAGAAGCGUAGGAAGGAUUUGACGUGUUGAAAAAAAAAAAAAAAGAAUUGCAUGAGGGAUUUGUUAAGUUUAAGUAGGAGAUUUAAAUAAUAGUAAUAAUAAUUUAAUGCAAAUAAAUAUUCUUAAAAGAUUUAUUUUAGAUAAGUUAGAAAAAAUGAAAUAAAUUAUUGUUUAGGAAGUUGAAAAUAAUAUUGGAUGGUAAUAAUAUUAAUAUGGGAAAUUAAUUAAGAUACCUAAUACUAAAUAAAAUAUUUUUGAGAUUGUCAAACUUACAUAUUUAGAUAAAUAAUCAAUAAUCAAUAUUGUGUAUGAUAUUAUGUUAGGUGAGGAGAAAAUUAUUCAGAGUUAAAUACUUCAAGAUUUUGAGUGCUUUUUCAAGGUAAUGGAAAUUAAUGUUAAAAAAAAUAAUUUUCUUUUUAUAUUGUAUUAUGAAAAGUGUAAAAAUAUUAUUUUUAUCUUUUUGUAUGGAUCAAAUAUGUGUUUUGUAUGGAAAGUAUAUUUGAGAAUCUUCUUUAUUUAUUUAUGAAAAGCGAAAAUUUUUUGAGAUAUGAUAUUUUGUUUUGCAAGUUUGAAUUAAUGAAAUAAGAGAAAAAAUUUGGAGAUAUGAUAUUUUGUUCUGCAUGUUUGAAUUAAUGAAAUAAAGUGUUUAACUCUAGUUCCUAUGGCCCUAGUCAACGGGUUAUAAUUGUUGACAUUUCUAUGGCCCUAAUCAACGGGUUAUAAUAGUUGAUAUUAUAUGACCCUAGUCAAUGGGUUAUAAUAGUUGACCUUAUAGCCCCUAGUCAACAGGUUAUAAUUGUUGACUUUUGGUGUUAUUCACCUUAAAUAGAACAAAUUUGAAACUAGUCACUUAUUUGUGAAGUCCCACCUAAUUGGGCACCAUUUGUUAUUUAAUAAUCAGAGUAAGAUAUUUUGAAUGCAUUUGAUUUGGUUUUGAUGAGAAAUUGUUUUGAAAUGGAUAUGAGAAAGUUUGUUGAAAAGUUUGAAUAUAUUAGUAUUUCGAACUCAAAAGUUUUUAUGAAAAUAAGUAUAUGUUAUAUCUCCUAUUUGCAAAUAUGAUUAAAAAUAUUUAAUCCAUGAAACUGCAUUGAUGUUCCUUAUUGAGUUUUAAGUUUAUGCCCCUUCGUUGAUAAUUUUUCAAGUACUUUUAGUUCGGGCGAGGAGUGAUGGCUAGGCUUAGGAAUUUUUCUUUGUUAGGUCUUUGGUUCAAACUUUUUUUUUGGACAUUGUUUAGAUCUUAAAAUUUAUUUUCCAUUUAAAUUAUUUGAAUUUGGAGUUAUUUGGACAAUAACACUCUGGUUGAUGUGUUAGUUUUUUUUAAGUUGAUACUUGGAGAUUUUAGAAUUUUGUUCUACUACUCUGAACAGGAAUUUGGUAAUUGGUAAAUUUCCAAUUACAAUACGAAUGUUUGUGUCGUUUCCACUUUGAGUCAUUGGGUUUGAGGUGUGAAAUGACCGUCAUAACCUUGUAGUGGGUUUUGGGGCGUGACAUGUACAUAGAUCUUCCAUUUAUUUUAAAUCUAGAGAAGAAAAGAGCCCUAUUUUUAAUAAAACACUUAGGGGGAAAGCUCGAUUGAUUAAGCCUAAACUAACAUCCCUUGUAUUUACUCCAUCAUAAUACAAACUAGAUAAAUCAAAUGAACCUAAUCACAAUUUAUUUUGUUUAAGUAGCCUAACAAUGGACUUAUAUGUUGUUAGUCCAAUGGUUUUCCUAAUCACAUUUUAAUGAUAACAAGCCAUGAUCACUAUACUAGUAAUUUAAAAUCAAGAUGAGUUUCAAGUUUUAUUUUGAGAAAUUCAAAUAAAAAUUCAAGAUAAUCAUCAAAGAAUCAAAGAAGUGCAAGUCCAAGGGUGCAUGAAGACUGUUCAAGCCUAGGAAUUCUUUGUAAGAUGAAUAAAUGGGUGCACUUAGGAUUUUCAUAUAAAAUCAUGCAUUUUUCAAUACUUGAUUUUUCAUUAAAACCCGAGUAUUCUCACAUGAUCCUUAGGCAAAUUAAUUUAAACUUGACUUACUAAAGUACCUAUAAACCUUGACUAAGUCUUAGAAGGAAAAAAAAAAUUAAAAAAUCUAAGUUUUUAGGUCAAAAUAGGUGAAUCAAAGAAAUUGCUCAUCAGGGAACCAAUCGAUCAAUUAAGCCUUCCUAGUAGAGGACCAACUGAGGAAUGCAAAAAAAAUUUCUCUCUCAUUCAAUAGUUAUGCAGUCCUAGUUGAUAGGAACCUUUCUCGGUCAAGGGAAAGCUCUUUCUAAUUGAGGUUUGGUCUAGGGUCCAAUAAUCACUUGUUGUGCAUUUGGUGCACAACAGUUAGUCAACUGAUUGAAUUAGAGCUCGACUAGACGAGGCUAGGUUAUGCCACUUUUGGUGUCCAAGCUAGAAACCUAUAAAUUGAGAGUUUCAUUUCAUUUACUACAUAGAAAACGUCUGUAAUUAUCUUCACAGCUACUUGUUUCUCAUUAAAAGUUUUUUCAUACUUUGUGCAUUGAUUCUUCAUUUGCAAACCACCUUAGCACCUUUGUCAUUCAUCCUAGCUUUCUUUUGUAUUUGUUCAUUUAUUAAGUUAGGGUAAUAUCUUAUUUCAUUGAUUAUUAAAGAGAGGUUGCGAGUAUUUAAAGUUUUAAGUUGAGGUAUACUUGAAGGGAUAUUGUUGCUAGGAACCCUAGAUUUAUCCAUUCCUUUACCCUGAAUUGUAUAGGUGCAUGCAAAACUACCAUAGGUCGCUAGAUCCUAUACAAGGAAAGCAAAAAAUAGAUUUUUACAAUUCUAGGAUCAAGAGGAAAGCCAUUAGAGAAAUUUACCUUUGAUUUGGAUGUUCCUAAAUCAAUUCCGCUUGGUGAAGAUGAAGAAUAAUGAAUCUAAAAGUCUCGUACACCCAAGAUCUUUCUCCUUAUGACUCGAACCAUGAUCCCAACACCCCAAAAUGUGGACUUUGGAAAUGAUGAUCUCUUGGCUCUCACUAUCUCUCUUUUUUUUUUGAGGUGGAAGACACUGUUUAUCUUAAAGUUGUGGAAACCCUAGCCCCUAUGGGGUAUUUAUAAGGUUCCCCUAUUGGGCUCACUAAUUUGAACUCACCAAGGCUUAGGUUACUUAAUUUAACCCAAAAUUGGUCUUAAUUGAUUAAUUAACCAUAUAAGGUCAUCUAAUUUAUCAAUUAGUCCAAUCCAGAGAACUUAUUCAGUAUCUCUUAUGCAACCUUGUGUAAUCACCAAAACACCCUUAUGCACAAGAAUGAACCAAGAGUCAAUUCAUCUUUCAUAAAUCAUGUCAUUAUGGUAUAUGAGCUUAAAGUGGAGACCAUUGGGACCCAUAGAAGUACUAUCUCUUUCAAAAUCCAAUUUUGAAAUUUAUUCAACAUUCCACCAAAGAGAAUCAAUUGCACUUCAGUAUCUUAAGUAAUUAAAAACAAGAAGAAGCUCGGGGUCCAUGACCUAUUAUACACCAUAUGCAAAUUUAUCAUGAAUUGAUGUUCGUAAUCUAACAAGGUAGUGCUAUCAUCUAUUAAGAUUAUCUCUUCAAUUAUUGAGUUAUAAAUUCCAUUUAUUAUGUGAUCAAUUGAGAUAUUAUAACUCUAAAGAGCAUAUAUCAAAUUUCCACUAAAUGAAAUGUUAUGACCAUAGUUUUCUAGAUCACAUGUCCUUUGAAUCACCCAAUGAGACACAUUGUCUCAAUCCAUGAGAUAUCAUGGUGUCUUUAUUGAGACUACCUAUUACCACCAACCUCCAUCAAAAGUGGCUCAAUCCAUAGGGAUAUAUAACCACUUUAGGAUCUCACUCAUAGGUUAAAACCUCUUGUUAACUUUGGCGCAUGCUCAAUAUCCUCUUAAGGUUGAGAGUUAAUGCAGUAUAGUAGUCUGGUGAAUCAUGAAAAUUGAUAGCCUUAUGUCAUGAUUCACCGUAGGUCCAAUCCAAUGCUCAUCAUAUGCGCUAGUACACUCAUUAUAGGAAAAUCAUCCUGACAACCAAGACAAAUUAUCCCACUAAUUAUGAGGUAGUAUACUACAGUCUCAGAUGGAUAGCCCAAAUCCAUGAACCUACUAUGAACAACUCAUCACUCUACAAGGAAUCCAUGACUUGAAUCUUCUGUGCAACUCCUAAUGCACCCAAGUCAUGUACAAUGUAAGUGAUGUAAGGUGUGUAUGUUCAAAUAACCUAUUAAUACAAAUGAGAUAUUUAAGGGAAACUAAGAAACAUAAAUAAAUAAAUUUAUAAAUGAAUUUCAAUCUGUUACAUCAUAUCAUGCUUUCCAAUGCUCAAUCCCAACAAUUGUAAUGUCCAUUGGAGCCAGAAACCAAGUGUAGAGCAUUGGAACCUUUGAAGCUUGAGGAGAGUGAACGUAUAUAAGAAGUAUCGAACCACUAUAAAAACUAUGUUUGCUUUCACUAUAGAUCUCUUUAUUUAUUCCUUUUUAAUUUGUUUAAAUUUGGUAUGUUUGGAAAAGAUUUUUAAAAACUCAAUUCACAUCAUCUUGGGUGAUUUUCUUAAUUGAUUAGCCUUAAAUCCACGUAUGUAAAUAAUAUUUUUUUUCAUUAUUGUUUGUGUUUCACAUAACUUUAUUAUUUAAUAAUGAUUUUUUUUCUUCAUGUAGGAAGGAGAUCAUAUUAUUAUCACCACUAGGAGUUGUUUAUGCUAAAGACACUAUAACUCAAAGCUUUUCUUCCAAUUUAUUAAUAUUUCAACAUUUGAUGUAUUGGGCAAUCAAGUUAAAUACUUUAAAAUUUUCAUGCUAUUUCUAUUUAUAUUUCAAACUAUAUAUAUUAUUGACAUAUAAAAAAUAGUUAAUUAAAGUUUAGAUGUAUAAUCAUAGUGAACAAAAUAAGUGUAGCAAAAAUCACAUGCACUUGCCAAUCACCCCCUCAAACUUUAAAUCUUACGUCCACCAUUCUCUUCAGGUUUUGGGCUAGUCAAAACAUGUCCUAAAUUCACUAUAGAAAUUGCAAAAAAUAUCAUUUCCUACCAUCUAUUAAAGAAUGUUUCAUUAAAAGAAUCGAUUUUAGAGGUAUCGGGACGAGUGUGAACUACGGAAGUUUUUUUUAACAAAAAAUAAAAUAAAAAUUGAUAUACUUUUAAGAUUAUUGAAAAAAUUAGGUCUAAAAAAAUUAUGCUAAACUAAAAUUAACCAAGCGCAAACAAAUAGGAAAAUAAAUUCUAAUUAGGGUAUCCAUCAUAUUUGCCUUAGGUGUGACAAACAUUAUCUUUAAAGUAGAUCUACACUCCUCGAGUAUCAAACUCGGUGCAAUAGAGAACUAACGUCUUACUUUCAUAAUUCAAUAACCAAAAUCCUUGCUUUAGGUGCACACCUUUAGCAAGGAAUAAUACAGCUCAAUCUUAUAGAAAUUCUUCUAAAUGAAAAGUUGAAAAUAUUGGAAUUAGGGUACAACAACGUUCAAGUAUUACAAUAGAGUAUGGUACUACACUAACAAAAGGAGACGUAGUGCUGAAAAAUGGCUACAGUAGAUAGUAGAUGUAAUAACGAUAGACAAUAUAACGAUAAUUUGGUUACUAGUUGUAGUCAAGGUUUGAAAUAUCAAUAAACACGAAUAUAUCGGUACUUGAAUUUUACGGAUAUAUUAAAAAUAUUGGUGGAUAUUUUGACAAAAAUAUCAAUGAGGCGAAAAUUAUUCAAAAUUUAUGAAAAUAUUUGGAAAAACUUCAAAAAAUAAUAAAAUUAAUUAAUUAAAAUAUGUAUGUUAAAAUUGUUUUCUAAGUGUAAUUAACAUAGAUAUGGUCAAAGAGAAAAAUAUUGGUAAGUAAGGAUAUAUUGGUCUUAAUAAUUUAUUAUUUACCUAAUAUAAUUAAAUUAAAUUUAUAAAAUAUUAGAACUUCAUUAUUAUUAUUAUUAUUAUUUAAUAUUUUAGUAUUUUAAAAUAAAUUUAUAUUUUUAAUAUUUUAAAAUAAAACAUUAAAAAUUAAAUAAAAUUAAAAGGAUAACUAUAAAAAAAUUUAAAAGUUAAGUGACGGUAUUUUUUUAAAAAUGGGAUUAAUGAGAUAAAUGAUGAUACAUUUAAUAUUAAAGCUAUAAUUUAUUUAAUUCAAAUGUAUUCAAUAAUGUAAAAUAAAUUAUGAUGUCUAUAUGAUUUUUUAAUUUUUAUAUUUUUAUAUUUAAUUAUCAUAUAAAUGAUAUUAAAAAAUACUUGUUAAGAAAAUUAUAAUGAUGGUUUUUAUACAUUUAUUAAUCAAUUAAAUAAAAUUUAAAUAAAAUAAUUAAAUUUUUUUUUUUUAAUAAUGAACUUUAACAUAUUUAUUAUUAACAUAUAUUAACAAAUGAGAACUUGGCCUAGUGGUAACCAGGCUUGAACUCAAUAAAAUUUGAAAUUUGAAGGGGCUUGACGUGUUGACCAUGUUUGACUUACCAAAAAAUCGGUAAAAAAAAAAAAACGUAGCCAAUUUAUAGAAGAAGGAUCCUAACAUUUUAAACCAUGGUUAUGAUGCAAAAGAAGUAGCUAAUUUAUAGGAGAAGGAGAUUACAGAGAGGAAAGGAGAAUGAAUAACUCUAAUGAGAAUGAGCCAAAUCAAUCUAAUAAAUUUCAAAUGUUAUAAAUGUUUAUAACAUUUAUUAAUCAAUUAAAUAAAAUUUAAAAUAAAAUGAUUAAAAUUAUUAUUAUUUUUUAAUAAUGAGCUUUAACAUAUUUAUUAUCAACAUAAAUUAACAAAUAAGAACUUGGCUUAAUAAUAACCAAGCUUGAACUCUAGAAAAUUUGAAAUUUGAAGGGGCUUGGCGUGUUGACCAUGUUUGACUUACCAAAAAAUCGAUAAAUGUCGAUGAAAUAUCGACGAUAUUUUAGCGAAAUAUCCAGACAUUCCAAACCAUGAUUACGAUGCAAAAGAAGUAGCCAAUUUGUAGGAGAGGGAGAUUACAGAGAGGAGAGGAGAAUGAAUAACUUUAAUGAGAAUGAGCCAAAUCAAUCUAAUAAAUUUCAAAUGUUAUAAAUGUGAGGGGCCCUCAUGUAGUAACCAAGCUUGAACUCAAGAAAAUUUGAAAUUUGAAGGGGCUUGAUGUGUUGACUGUGUUUGACUAACCAAAAAAUAAAAUAAAAAACAGAUAAAUGUCAAUGAAUAUCGAUGAUAUUUUAACGAAAUAUCCUGACAUUUCAAACCAUGAUUACGGUGCAAAAGAAGUAGUCAAUUUAUAGGAGAGAGAUAUUACAAAGAGGAGAGGAGAAUGAAUAACUCUAAUGAGAUGGAGCCAAAUCAAUCUAAUAAAUUUCAAAUGUCAUAAAUGUGAGGGCCCUCAUGUAGGAUGUGAGGGGCCCAAAUUCCCACUAUAAUGGGUUUGAGCCCCUUGGAUGUGCAAGGCUCCCACUCACCUCUCCACAAGCUCAUGAGGCUAAGUGAGGUAGAAUAUAUACCUAUAAAAGUACCUGUUCUUUUCCAAUAUGGGAUAGACACUUUUUAUAUUUUUUUUCAUUUUAAAGAACACUUAGACACAUUCUCUUCCAAAACUUGACACUAUAUAAAUGGUGAAAUCUUCAAAAUUGUGUGAACAAAUUUUAAAACUAUAAGAGUUUAUUACACUCAAAACAAACAAUAUCCAUAUGAAAAGGAUUGACUCAUUAUAAAUGGUAUAAAACUAUGUUCCCGACUUGGUAUAAGACUCUGUUGGAGUUGUAAGAAGCAUUUGUUUGUUUGAAUCCAUGAUCCCAUGGGAUAAGACAAGAAUGUCAUGUUUGCAUGAAAGGAAGAUUAUGAAAUAAAGUUAAUUUUAUUCACAUCUCUUGAGUAUUAAUUGAGUUAAAUACAUCUAGCUAUUAUUAAUUUGAAAUUUUAUCAAAUACUUCUCAUACCUUUUCUAUUUGUUAUUUUAAGGGGAUGUGAGUGAAAUUUACCUUUAGAAUAUAUUACAUUAGUUAAAAAGAAAAAGUUACCAAUACUAUAUAUGUAAUCAACUCAUCUUAACUUUAUAGAGAACUUUUGUAACCAUAAAACCUCUUAGCAGAAAAUGGGUGUUACCACCCGUGAUCAACAAAAGAAAAGGAAUAACAAUACUCUUUUUUGUUUACACUAAUAUCAAUAAAUAAAACCUCAUCCUAUAUCUAUAAAUAUAAUGGUAGAAUAAAAGGAAAGAGUACUCUAGUAUUGCCCUCUCCUUUACUCAUUGAUGCUUUAAUUUGGGAAAAGCCUUUCAAGAGUUGAAAACUUUUUCAGAAAAUUAAUGUUGAUGCAAAUUAUAGGCCAACAUCUAAAAAUCUCAUCCAUUGCCAUGAAAUUAUUUUGCACUCACUUUCUGAAACGAGCCCAUGACAUCCUGAAUCCUAUCCUUUAUAUGAGCAAGUCUCACAUGGGAAUUAUCCUCAUUUGUGGGCCAAUGGUUACAAAAGCAUAUCUGUUCACCACUCUACUGUGGUCUCCCAUGGCCCCCAACUCUGUAAAGCUUCUUGAAUUGGCUAAGCACAGAGGCCAUCGCUUGAUCAAUGCAGUGAAACCAUGUUUCACUGCUAUUUUACUAUACUACACCGAAGUGUUUUAAUGGCCAGCAACCAAGGCAGACCAUGACUGGUGGAGACUGGACAGCAGUUGAACCAUUUCCACCUAUUGGGUUGGUUGGGUCAAAACUCCCAUCGAAUGUUUGGUGACUCUUGGGCUUGACCCCAGCUCACCCAUCACCUAAGCUCAGAUAUUAGGUUAUCUUCUUCUGAUCCCAAUUGACAUUCACAUAAUAUAUAGAAAAAAUCAUAUUUUUUCCAACCCCCAACAGUUUCUCAUUCUAUCGUACCUAACUUCAUAAAUAAUCAAGUCCAGUACCCAUACGGCUGUGAUGAAAUCUGAAUGCAAAGGUGUUAACCAAGAAGGUCCAUGUGUUAGAUCUUGUCCAAUCAAGGGUCCACCCUCAAGGGACACAAGCUAAACCUACCAUAAUUAGCGGCUACACGUGCCACCGGUUCCACCGGCCAUUGCGGAUCGGGGCAUUUGCUGACCACAAGAUGGUCGAUCACUUGCUCACGUAUGAUAUGAGUGGCCCAGAAACAGACUUUAAGGUUUAGUCCCUCUCGGACUGGUGCAGAUCCAUUUAAAUCAGCACCGAUGUGUUUAGUAAAACUCUAUACAAAACAAGAUAAAAGUCCCUUUUCUAAUUUCCAAAUGAAAAGCGAAAUUAAUAUCACAUGAUCAACUUUUUAUAAACUUUUUUGUAAAAAAGUGAAAUGUUUCGUGUAACGCUUUGGGUGAAUGACAGUAACAUCAUGGAAAAGGGGAAACAUAAGUAGGGUUCACUUUGUGUGACCAUGCCUGCAGAGGGUAAAAGGGAAAAGAUGGAAAGAUUUUUUUUUUUUAUGGAUAGGUGUAUUUCUUUCACUUAAUUAUAGUUUUAUGAGCCUACCAUGACCUCAAAAGGUAUGUCCCAUCAAAUGAAACAAAGGCAGAUCAUAUCAUACAGGCAGACCAUCUAACCCAACGGUUGUGAUGAGUGGGGGAAUAGGUUUGAUAUUUACAAUUGUGAACUUGGGAUUUGGUACUGAGGAUUAUUAGGAUUUAUAAAGUUGCUGAUCAUGAUUAGGUGGGCAAAAAGGGAUCCCAAAUGUAUCUCGCUUUCACUAUGUAUCUUCUCGUUUGUGUCUUGUAUAUAUCUCUUGACCCCUUCAAAGCCUACAAUCAUCACUUCACAAGUCCUGUGCGCCACAAAGGUCAGUCCUCUGUAGUAUGUGGAUGUGGAUGAUAAGGAGAAGAGUAGAGGUCACCUGCAACUAGGAAUUAUGAAGCUCAGGUAAGGCUGUGAAAAGUUGUUUCUUGUUCCAAUUUCGAUCCUCUUUGUGGGUUUUCUUUUCCCCUUUUGCCUUCUUGUUGUUGGGUUUUGGUUCCAAGGAGAAACCAAGCUGGCUAGAGAGGACCAUCUCUGAUUGAGAAGCUGGAAUCGUGCAGCAAACGGUCCCUUAUUCGGAUAGCAAAUUACCAUUUCUUUUUCCCUUAUCCUAGAGACAAAGAAGAUGCUCUUUCUGUGUCCCUUUCUAGUUGGAAUCUCGACAACAUUACUGUAAGUCUGUAACUCGAAAGAACAGCCUUCGUCUUUUGCCAUAAUUGAAUCAAUAAGAGCGUAAGAGCAGAAAACAUAGGCCUGCACUUUUCCCUUUUUUUGCUUCUCUGCAGCUACUUCCUCUCUUGGGUAACUCCCUUUAAGUUUUCCAAGCCGUUAGUGGUUAGAUUAACCCUUCUGCUAUAGCCCCCCGAGUAAGCUCAGCUGGGUUUGUGAAGUUGUGGAGUGCGGAACCACUGAACCAAGCUAGAAAAUGGUGAAUCCGAUUCUUCAUCAUCUUCAUCAUCAUCAUCAUCGCCUCCUGCUCGAUACGCCGGAGCCGAGCACCAUGUCAAAUGGGAACAGUACUCAUGAGGCUUAUGUGAACGAGACCAACUUCGACACCAACAUGGUGAUCAUCCUAGCAGCCUUGCUAUGUGCUCUAAUAGGAGCACUUGGGCUCAACUCAAUCGUGCGCUGCGCCAUGCGCUGCAGCAGAAGGCUCUCCCCGGAGUCCCAGGGGCAAGCUGCUACUGGCCUCAAGAAGCGUGCUCUGCGCCAAAUUCCGGUAGCAGUUUAUGGGCCCGGAGUGGAGAUUCCGGCCACUGAAUGCCCAAUUUGCCUGGGCGAGUUUGUGCAGGGGGAGAAGGUUAGGGUGUUGCCCAAAUGCAAUCAUGGGUUCCAUGUGAGGUGCAUAGACACAUGGCUGGUGUCACACUCAUCCUGCCCAAAUUGUCGCCACUCAUUGCUUGAGCGCCCAACAACUUCAGACGCAGCUGGUGAGGUUGCCCCGGAACAGCCACAGCCAAAUGGGUCCACCCACCAAGGUAGCAUUGUCAUUGCUGUCCAUGAGACAAGUUAAUAAUGCUGGCCUUAAAAUUAAGCCUACUAGGCUACAUCUUUUGUUUCACCAGUACUGAACUACCCCAGAUUGCAAAUGCUAAAAGUUGUUUUUCAGAUGAUUCAAAAUCAUAGUAGACAUCAAACCAACAUGCUUCUGUUAUGGGCUUAUCCACAUUUCUCUUCAUUUCUAAACAAAUGGAUCAAUACUAGAGGAGAAGUUUCCGUGAUCUUUGUCCAUGUGCCUUACCAAAAUCCAAAGGUUUUUCAAUUGGGUGGUGCAUUAGACAAGCUUUCUUUUCUCCAUUUAAUAAUCUGUGUAACGGCCAAAACUGAUUUUGGCGAUGUAUUGGUGAGUGAAAGUGCCUGCAUACCACCCACUAAAGUGGGCUGAGAUUUCCAAAUUUCACAUACUCUGUUUGGUUGGGGAGAAAGUGGGUGAGAGAGAGGGAAAUUUUGGACUCUUUUCAACCGUAUGGGUUUGGAAUGGUUGAAAGGUUAUAAAAUCUGUUGCGUCUACGCUUCUUAGCAAUUAAUGGAGCAUUAAGGUCUCAACCUACAAUCGUUGAAAUAAAAAGAAAAAAGAAGAUAACUUCCUUGGGCUGGCUCAUCUUAGCUCUAACAUACUAAAAUCUCAUUUCAGAGCAAUGCCCCCAGUAAAUUUUCCUGCACCUCACACCUUCUGGGUAUGAGGUCCUCCAAUCAAUGACAUUAAUCAGUGGGCCAUCCACUAUCUACCUCAUUGAUUGAAUUGCUUCUAAAUCCUUCCUGUUCCUUCAACUGCAAAGGAAGCUUUGAAUUUUAACCAUCCACGGAACAUCAGAUAAUGACAGAUGGGGGGCUCGAUGAACUCUUUUGUUUCAUCUGCUCCUCCUUAGAUGACCCAUCAUUCCAUGCCAUAUCAUAAACUGUUUUAUUCCCAAAUAAACAACCCUUGUUGAUUAUAUCUUCUGAAAGAGCAAUCAAUCCAAUGGCAGUAGUUAGUACUUAAUCAGAACCAUCAAGUUGGACACCAUUUUUAAAGCUCUUUUUGACAGUUCCAGAAAAAGUAUUACAUAAUAUUUUAUCACCAAUCAGAGCACUUUGGUACGGAUUUUGCGUAUGAUAUUGAAGUUUUUGAACUAAACUUAGGAGUGAUGUAUUUUUUGACAAUACCUUUCAAGGAAAAAGUUCUAAAACUAUGGCCAUGAUUCCUAAAAAGAACUAAGAUUUUUUUCCAUAUUAAUUCCAUCAGUUAGAAACACAGCUUUGUGGGUCUAAGAUUUGUAAGUUGGGCUAAUUUUGAUUCCAUUUCAAGUUAAGGGAUUUUGAAAUGGGGAUCCCCACCAUGGCCAACCUAAUGUUGGAUUUGAAUCCUGAGAAAAGUUGCUUAAUGAGGGAAUUAGGGGUUUGGCCCCAACAAAUUGGCAUCACUUCCCACAAGACCUUGUAUCAAACCAAUAUUUGAGAAGAAUACUAAAUUUUUAAUAUAUGCUAAUAAAAGAAAAUUAAUUAAUCUGUAAAUAGCAAAUACAAAAAAAUGGAAAAUUAAAAUUUGGCAAAAAUGAUAAAUUAGUCUCCUAAAACCGCUGUACCUUUUCACUAAAAACCCUACUCACCAAUCAUCAUUUGGGCCUUGACCUCCAAAAGCCCACUUUCCAAGUCCAUGGUUUUCAUGGUCCAGCACGAACCCCAAACCCAAAUGGUGGUGAGUACUGAGGAGUGAGGAUGAGAGCAAUCAAAAUUUAAAAUCAAGGAAAAUUCAGGGGUUCAACGGCUAGUAAACAGUACACCAUUGAAUUCUCGUCUGAGAGCACCAAAUGCAGGCAAAUCAAGAGCAGCAGAAGCAGCCAUGGAGUCUCCAAGUUCAUGCCAAGGCCAAGAACUUCAAUUUCAAACUCAAGGCCACCCAAAUCAUACCCUCUCACAAGUUCUUUCGCCUCUCAGUCUUCCUCAAGGUCUGCUCUUUUUCCCUUAAAGCUAGAUCUGAACGCGGACCUCCAGCGUCUAGGCAACACCGGACGCCACUCAGAUCCAAAUUCGCCAGGAUUCUCGAGAAAAUUCGGUCCCGAGGCACCAAGAAACCAGCCAUUUCUGCUGUGAAAACCUCGAGUCGUCGACGCCCAGAAGCUAAACUUCCCCAAAAUCAGCGACCGAAACGAUUCGCUUACGAGGUAAUGCGAAAUUACACAUGUUUGUUUUGAUGUUGAUCCAAAUUCUAAUCAAAAUUUUGAUGGGUUUUAUGUGUUCACAGGAACCUAUCUACGUGGGUUCGAUAAUGAUGAGAGGCCUGGCUUUUCUUUCUCGCUCGGUCUCGGUGAAGGACCACAGUGGAAUCAUCAUCCACACCUCAAUAAUCUUGCUGUACCUUGCUUUAUUGUUUAAGAAAUACACGACAAGAGAAACUAGUAAUCUAUUGGCAACUUUGAUUGCUGCAAUAGUGGGUUGUUCGCUUGUGUUUGAUAUGAGCAGUGGCCUGAAUUAUAAUGGCGGCCUUGUUUCAGAAUGUGUUUGGACGAUCUGCAACUUGGCAGCCUCUUCUGGGUGUUUGUAUGUAUUUUCCCAGGUAAAUUUUGCUCCGUUCUAGCUCUUUAUUUUGCUCUCUCACACUUGAAGUUAAGAUUGAAAGCUUCAUCAGUAAUCAGAGGCCACUUGCUCUUAAAUUUCAGGUAAUUUUCUCAAGGUUUUUUCAAUAUAUGAAAGCACUCAGAUGAUUGGGGUCUUCUGGCGAUGAUACUGGUAAGGCUUCUUGUUUGUUCCAUUGGUGUUUUCUGCAAUGGUUCAAGCCAGAUACUUGAGGAGUAAAUAUUUUACAAAGUUUGAAUAAAUUUCUUUAUUGUCCAUUUUUAAGACACUUAAAAGUUUGUGAAGCCAGAAAUCAAAUGUAAAGCUAAAGGUCACAGGCCAGUAGACAAAGUGUAAUAAGAAUUGGUGUCACAAAAAUUUGAAAAUUUUAAUUUUAUAUACUGCCUUCAUGCUUUAAUUUAUUGUUUGUAAAGUAUCUUUCUCAACUUCACCUUACAGUGAGUGAAGUCCCAACCCUUUGAAGAAGGUGGGGGGGAUGGGAGGGUGAAGGGGGAGUGGGGAUCAUCACGGUAGGCAGGGGCAAAGCUAGGAAUAGGAUACGGGAGCAAUAGAAUAGAGGCUAAUUUCAAGAGGGGCAAAUAUAAGCCAAGAAGCAAUGUUUGGCUCAUCUCUCUUAAAACUGAGGUAUUUUUAUUUUCCCCCUUUUGGGCCUUAGGUGGGAAAAAAAGAUUGUGGAAUUCUAAAUUUUAGAUAUAAAUUGUUGAAAAUGAGUUUGGAAUUGGAAUGUGUUUUUCUUUUUUCUUUUUUAACUUCUUUUUGUUUAAUUAAUCAUCCCAUGAUUUUUAUUUUUUUUUAAAUCAAUGUUUCCCUUGAGAUUUAAAAAAAAACAAAUUAGGUUAGCUAUAUAUUUCAUCUUUUUUUAAAAAAAAUUAGUUGUUAAAAAAUAUCAAACUUUUAAGACUCGAGGAAAAUUAAAAAUCAGGAAAAAUUGACAUUUACCAUUGAGCGAUUUUAUAAAAUUGAUAGAAUUUUAGCUAAAAUUCCAUUAUUUUCAUAAAAACAAAAAUAUAAUGUGGUUCAUCAAUUGAAGAGGCUUUUGCAUUUAAGGUAGGCUAUAACUAUUGAUCGAGGAAAAAACCUUAAUCGAUCGAGCAUUGGUCGACAAGUCACUUAACCAAUCAAGAUUUUUGUCUUACAAUGAUUGUUUGUUAUACUUUUGUUCUUCUAACAAUUAAUAACUUAAUUAACCAUCAAUUGAUUGGUUUAGUUUAAAUUGUUCCUAAAUGUCAAAUAAUUCACAUUUUUAACAUAAUUUUUCCAAAAUAAAAAAAUAAAAAAUUGUUGCAUGACACCAUAUGGAAAUCUCAACCCACCAAAUGUUUGACAAAUAAACAAGAAGACCAUUCCUUCAAACAAAGAAAACGAACAAAUAAAGAAGCUUCCACCCACUACAUGUCAAAAUACUAAUAUUAUAAACAAGCAUGAUGACUAUUAGUCUAUUAGAAUAAUGAUUAUUGGUCCAACUCAAUUGAAAAAAUAUAUCUCAGGCAAUAAUAAAGAAUAUAACAACAAAUAAUAAUAUAUUAAUCUUGUCACCCUCAACCAUCCUCCCUUCAUUCUAUCUAAUUUAUUUAACCAAGAUUGAGAGAAUAUUUUUUUAGAUGCCUUAAAAAAACCAUUAAUUAAAGGUUAUAAAAACUAGGGGUGACAAAAUUUAACAUGAUUGGUUAAUAUGACACAACCCUAACACGUUUUUUGCGGGUUUGAGUUAAGUAUAAAUAGUUUAGAUCAAAUACGCAUUAAUUUAGAUCAUUAACCCACAUAACAUGAAUUUGACCCCAUAUUGAACCAUUUAAUAAUCUCGUUAUUAAUCUAAUUAUAUUUUCAAACUACUUAGUUAAUAUUUGACUUAUUUUAAAAUUUUCUUUUAAAUAAAUAGGUCAAUUGAUUCAUAAACAUUAAUCAUAUAAAUAUAUACAAUUCUUUAACUCAAUUCGAUUAUUAAAUAAGAGGACUUGAUUAUUAAAUGUAUUAAAUGGAUUACACAACGUGUUACCUAUUUAAUAAUGAGGUAGUAUUGGGGUUUAUGUUUUCUAUACGAUUAUUAUUCAUGUCGAGUUUAGGUUUAUGUAGUAAAAUACCUAAAAUUUGACAUGACACAAACAUGAUUCACUACUGUGAAUUGCCAUCCCUUUACCAAUAGAAGAUUAAGAAUAAAAUAAUAUAUAAAUUUCAAAUAUCGUUCGGUCAUGGGUUGUCUAUGGCUCCUUAAGAAAAGUAGUGGUUGCAUCAUCAUUAGAAGUAAUUGCAUCCUUAUUUGAAGUGUGACUCCAUUGUAGUUAUUUUGAAUUCUUCGAUAAGAGUAUGGUAAGAAAACUUUUGAAUGAAUGGAAUAGUCAAUCUUGAUCGAAAAAAGACUUACUUUUGAAGUCAUUGUUUAUAUAAAUUAAAAGUCGUUGAAAGUUGCAUACCUCAAUAUUUUUAAAUCCAUAAAUUAUGACAACUAAGGUAGUUAAAUGUGUUUAAUGUACGUUUAGUCAUAUUUUUAUUUUGUUUUUUAUUUAUAUUUUAUAUUUUGUUUUUAAAAUAAAAAAUUUUACAUAUAAAAAUGAAAAUUCUUUUAUAAAAAGUAUAGAUUCGUCUUAUAUCUUUAAAAGUAAUUUUAAAACCUUCUAAAAUUUAAGGUAAUAUUUUUUUUUACAUCAAUUAUUUUGAAAUAAUUUUUAAAAGUAUUAUUUUUUAACAUAAAUCUCUAAGAAUUCUUGUACUUUAUAUAAAAUGUAAUAUCAUUUUAUAAUUUUAAAAAUAAAAAAGAGAAAGUAAAGGUAAUUGUUUUUCAAAAUAAUUUUAUAUUAUCUAAAUAAAGAAAAAAAAAACAUGUUUGGUAAAUAGAAAAGAGAUUUCUGAUAUUAAAAACAAAAAACAUGAUAGGGUUUAUUUGGUAACUAUUUUAAAAAAUAAUUAUAAAAAAUAGUUUUUUAAAGCUAUUUUUAAUUUUUGUAAACAGAAAUAUAUUUGAAAACUUAAAAUGUUUUUAAUAUGUUUUAAAAAUAUUCUUUUAUAUAUAAUAUUUUAUUUUUAAUAAUCUUACAUUUUGUAUAAUUAUUUUUUAAAACAACCUUACAACAAGAAGUGAAAAUCAUAAUUGUUUUUUAAAAUAGCCUUUAAAAAACAAGUGAAAAUAACAUAAAAUAACCAAAAGAUGUUUUCUAAAAAAUACACCAUAUUAAAUAGAAUACAAUUUUUGAUGGUCAAAUGUGUUUUUUUAUUAUAGAGAACAUAAAAUUGUUUUAAAAAAUAGUUCACAAUGCUCGUGAUUUUAGAUAAUAUUUUUUAAUUAUAUUUAGUUAUUUUCUAAAGAGUUAUUUUUAAAAAUAAUUAGAAAAAUAUAAAUAAGGAUUAAAAACUUAUAUAUAAAAAUAUAAAAAACAUGUUAAGAAUAUUUUAGUUUUCAAAUAGAAUUUUAUUUUAUAAAAUAUUAGAAAAUGGUUUAAAAAAAUUGUUCUAAAAAUGGUUUUAAAAAAUUCUUAUGAAAUAUUGUUUUAAAACAUAUUAAAAACAUAAAAAUCAUGUGAAGAACAUUUUAGUUUUUUUUUUUUUAAAGCACUAAGUAUAAAAUUUAUUUUCAAAACAUAAAAAAUAUGUUAAGAUUAUUUUAAUUUUUUAAAUAAAUUUUAUUUUAUAAAACAUUAAAAAAUAAUAUUUAAAAAUUGUUAUUGAAAACGGUUUUAAUAAUUCCAAAAUUUUCAUUUCAACAUGCAAAAUUGUCAACAUUUUAUCGAGCGGCAAAGCAGGCCCUUCACCAAUGCUUCAUCCUGAAAACCGAAAGUAGGCCCGUGAACCAGGCCCAGGCCCAGGAGACAGCGGUGGGCCCGAAUUCAGCCACGGGAGCAGGGCGCGUGGGAAAAGGCACCAAAGAGGAAGAGAAACAAAUAAAAAAAUGAAAAAGACAAAAAGGGGGGGGGAGGGGGUGAUGUUGAGUAGUGGGUUUGAAUGGGAAAACGGGGACCGUAGAUCUACGGGAGGCAAGAGCAGAUCUGACGGGACAGGUUGAGAGUCAAAGAGCUAUCUUGAUGGGUCUCUUUGACCACACCCUCCCUCUUUCUAUUUUAAUAUUUAUUUUAUUAAUUAAUAAAUGACUCAAGUUUUCCAACUUUGACUGCCUUGUCACUUCAUUCCAGGCCCCUCUUCCUUGAAUCUCCAGCCACUCUGCUCCUUCACCCCCAUUUUUAUCAUCUUGCCCCUCCCCCUCCCCGGCCAUCCCCCUAGGAAACCAAACUCAAGGGGGCAUUCAGGUAAACUCACAGUGAGAAAGCCACUUCUGUUGUUUUACUGUAACAAUAAUAAUAAUGAGACUUAAUAAUUAAAAAUAAAAAUAUUUGAAUUUUUAUUAAUUAAGUAUAAAAAAGGAAGGGGGGUUUUGGGUAGGUUUGACUAGUGCUUCAUUGGGGGCUCCAUUCCAAUAUUCUUAUCAUUUUUUUAUUUUUAUUUUUAUUUUUUUUUCUGUCAUACUUUUUCUCUCUCACAAGUCACAAGAAAAAUCUUUCUCUUCCUUUUCCUCAUUUUCCUUUCUUUGACUUGCUCAGGGUUUCGUUUUUAUAGUAUCAAAUCUCCCUCUCUUCUCUGUUUAUCUCUUCCAAGAUCGAAACUUUACUGCACCCAGGGCGCAAUCGAGAUCAGUGGCUGUUGCAGAGACGACUUGUUUUGGGUUCGGUUCGUGUUUUUUUUUUUCUUUUUUUCUUUUAUAUUUUGGGGCCUUGUGUGUUCUUGUUUAUGUUCUGUCUGGUUGCUGGGAAAUCCUAGGAGAAGAAAUGAAUUCUUUAUGGAGGUUUUGUGGUUGAAUUGGCUGUUGUAGGAUUGUAAGGAUUAUUAUUAUUUUUUUUUAAUUUUCUUUUUUUUCUUUGGACAAUUUCUCGGCAUCUAAACGAAGAAUUUCAUUGUAGAGAAUUUUGGAAUUGUAUUAUUGGGAAAAUUUGGAGUGUUUUUUUAGCUUGAUUUUUUUUUUGGAGCUAUGAUGUUCUUGUUUUGAUGCUUGACUUGGUUUCAUCAUGCUAAUGGGGAUGUUCAGUUGAGGUAUUCCGACUGCUUUGAUGGCCUUAACGUCCAUCUUAGGAAAAUUCAACCAGCUAAUUAGUUUUUUUCCCCUCUCUAAUCGCGUGAACCUUGGUAUCUUUUGGUGUUUUUUUUGGGGGGGUUGAGAUUUGGAGUAGUUUUGGAUCUGAGUUGAUUUUGAUGCAGAUGAUUGGGUGCUGAGUUUAUGGGCUUCUUCUCAUCUCUUUUUCUUUCAUGAAGUAUUAAUGGAUUUGCCGUGGGCAGGGGUUUUUAGGUGCUAUUUACUUUUGAUGUUGGCUUACUGUUUGUUUUUAUUUCAUAUUUCUGUAUCGUCUAAAGGUGAAUUAAGAUUGGCCCUGGAGAUUGCAAUAGUAUAUUGCCUUAUCCACAUGCCAUGUUGCCACUCUGUAUGUCUUUAGGGUUUUUGCUGAAAAAUCAUUGGAGGUUUGUAACUUUGUAGGUAAACAUGAUUUGAAAGAUUGUAUCAAUGUGGAGGACAUACAUUGGACCGUCUCUCAUCGCUGGCCUAGCAGAGUUGAGAAAUUCUUUUAAGGUUUGGGGUCAGGCCAUGUAUGGAUCAAUUAGAAAGACAGAAAUCAAAACAUUCUGGACCUUUUUUUUUUCUAGGUUAAUUGAUAAAACCUUAUUCUAAUAAAAUUUCUUGGUGAAUCUUAUUGUAUUAAAUGCUUCUAGUUUAGUCUUUGUUUCUUCAUAGUAAGAAUUGCUAACUUAAUUAAAUAACAAACAAAAAUUUUCUUGCUGGGUGUCAUAGGAAAAGAUUUUGAGGCUCCUAUUUUGUUUUUCAUGAUUUUGGUAUUGUUGAAAUUCUCAAGUUUGAAGCUUGCAAUGACAUGUCAUUUCCUCAUUUCAUCUGGCAGGAGCAUACAAAACCUUGUCACUGGUGAAGACAUUGAAGAUAAAAUGGGCUGUUUCAAGGUUUUGAAGAGUAAGAAGAAAAAGGCUGAGCGCACUGCUUACAUUAAAAGGAUCAAUCCUCAGGAGCUAACACCCACUACACUGCCUGAACCUAAACUUCAGAGCCGCACACUUCAAUCUGCACCCCCAAGUUUUAGAACCCUAGUUAAACCUGUUCAACCAGUUAAAAGAAUCAUUAACAGUAGAACACGAGCAUUGUCCGCCCCAUCAAGCCUCAAUACAACUGAACAAGAUGCGCUUGCAUCAAAUGAAUGUGAAGAACAAGAAGAGUUGAAGAGUCGUGUUGGAUUAACAAAGGAACAGCGAUCGCCAAACCCUCAGCCUCUUCCUCUCCCAUCACCUCAAGGCACUGUUGUACUGAAAGCUACAGGAAGUUUUAAAGCAGGGAAUGCGAGUGGCCCUCUCUAUGCUUCUGGCCCACUGCCAUUGCCUCCUUUAGGAGCACUCCGGAACUUUGGCUAUGAAGAAUUAUCAAACGCCUGCCUCAAUUUCUCUUCAGAUCGAUGUGUGUCGGAAGGACUUUCAUCCAUAAUUUACAAGGCUUCCUUUGGGGAUGAUGCUUCAGGUUCAAAAAAGCUGGAAGCCACUGUUACCCGGCUUCACCCAUCCACCCAGGUAUCACGACUUUCUGGUUUUUUAUUUGAAUGCAGGCCCUGGAUUGAUUAUUAUGUCAUGUCUUUAUUCCUAAACUUCCUGCAGUUCUCAAACUGUUGCAAAUUAUAUAUGAGCAUGCUAACAUGACUAAUGUAAUUGAACUUUGGUGCACCCCCUUUUAGGCAUCUCUUAGUAUACACUCUUAUUUGCUUAUCAAUAAAAAAGCAUGACUAAUGUAAUCGAGUAUAUGAGCUAUAUCUCAUUGAUGAAGCAACUUUUAUGUUUCAACAUUCUAAUGAUUUAGUUUUAGGGCAAAUGUUUAUAGAAGUUUGAAACCGAGAUAAAUUUUCACCUGCCUGUUUGUAUUUUUCAUUUUUAUCUCACUUUUCUUUCUUUAUUCCCCUCUAUAAUACAAAAUAUCGCUAACGCAAAUAGAUUGAUUUGAAGCAUAAGUCUUUUACAAUGUAUAAUAAAUUCUGCCAAUUUUGUAAUAUUUAACCAUGGCUUUAGAUUUGCUAGGAAUUUCUAUGAUUCUACUUUUUUAUUCUUUUUGAUUUUUUUUUUUCUUUUGAAAUGUUUUACAACCCUCAGUACACUGAGAUAUAACCCAUCCUGUUUGUGCUCAUCUAGGGUUUAAAGGAAUUCAUAAACGAGGUAAACACGCUUGCAUCAUUGCAACAUCCCCACCUCUGUAAGUUGCUUGGUUUCCAUGCGCGUGAGGGAUCUGACCAGAGGAUGUUGGUUUAUGAGAGGCUCUACCAUGGAAGCUUAGACCGUCUUCUAUAUGGGAGAUCGGAUGGGCCAUCCAUUGAUUGGAACACAAGAAUGAAAGUUGCUUUAUGUGCUGCACAGGGUCUCACUUUCUUGCAUGAAGAAGGGCCUUUCCAGGUAAGCUGAAAUCCUGUCUCUGUUCUUUUGAAGGAUUAAAAUUGAAAUAGAUGGUACAUGAUCCCCCACAUGGUCAACUAGUAACACUUCUCAGUUUAUGUUGCAUUUUUCUUUUUCUCUUUUUGGUAUAUUGCCCUUUCUUCGUUUGAUGGAAAUGCACAUGGGAGAUGAUAAAUUUCAAUAUGCCUUAUCAUGUUCUAUCAUUAUUUUGGCUUGAGCUUCUAUCCUUUUAGCUUGCUUGCCCAGAGUUGCAUUUUUUUUGGUAGUCAUAAUAAAAACUUUAAUUCUGUAUUUCAUGCUUGUCCAAUCCAUCAGUUCUGUAGAUUUGGUUGAAAUCCCAUCCAGUAGGUCCUACGUUGUGAAUGUUCCAGGACAGUAUGGCAAUUUUCAUGAUUGGUGUAAUAUUUAUUGAAUGUGACCUUUUGGUGGGAGAUUGCUUGAAAUGCAAAUAUUUCAAUUCCUGUUUUUCUGUUUCCCUCAGAUCACUGUCCCAAUUCUGUAUAUUAGGAUUUUUUUUUUCCAGUGGUUGUUGUUCUUGUUGUGUACUGAGAACUUCCCUGUGUGUUUACAGGCUAUGUACAAUGAAUUUUCAACUGCCAAUAUACAGAUUGACAAGGAUUUUAGUGCAAAGCUUUCGGGAUAUGGUUGCGUUGGCCACAUUCCAGAAGCAGAUGUUUGCAGUAGUUCAGUUGUAAGUGCUUUAACUCAUAUGAGGAUAAUUCUAUCAUUGUUUUGGUUUCCGACUGCGAGAUACUACUUUUCCCAUGCAUAGAGAUGGAAUAGUACAAUCAUGACAAAUAAGACACUUAUUAUUUCUGCAACUACUUCCAUCAAGUAAGACUAAAUCCUAAUACAACAAUGAAGUAUUUACUUCUCUGAAACUGUCAUAACAUGACAGCAUGGUGAUUUCUGGUCUUUUUUACACGAGUUCCUUUUGUUCUGGGUGCUUUUCUUUUCUCUGAUUUGUUUUUGAUCCUGGGGAAUUAAUUAUCUUUUGUGCCAUGUCCAUUUAUUCAGGCAGUAGCAAAUCUAUCAGUGGAGACAUUAGAGAGAGGAUUACUAACUCCCAAAAGCAAUGUUUGGAGUUUUGGAAUAGUUCUUCUUGAGCUACUCACUGGGCACAAGAACCUUGACAGCCGCCAUCCGAAGGAAGAGAGGAACUUAGUUAAGUGGAGCCGACCUUAUCUGGCCGAUGAUUGUCGACUCUCAUUGAUAAUGGAUCCUCACCUAAAAGGCCGCUUCCCUGCCAAAGCAGCCCGAACAGUGGCAGAUAUUGCCCAAAGAUGUCUUCAGAUGGACCCCUUAGAAAGACCCACCAUGAGAACCAUUGUGGAGCAUCUCAAAAUCAUUCAAGACAUGAAGUAUUCCUGCCGGUUUCCUCUGCAAGAGCCGGCAGCAGUUGCUGGAAAACAGAUGUCAAGAUCGCCUAGUCUCAAUGGGAUCAUUACCCCAGCGCCCAGGCUAAGUUUCUCCCCUUCUCCGCCAUCAAGAACCCACCUCUCCGUUUCUCCAACAAGACCGCCUGUAGUACCCGUGUCUCUUCCUCCCCGAGCCUGUUCCUCCACUCUCUCUUUGGAGGACCUUGAACGGCAGGAAAGCAGGAAAUCUUCAUCAUCAACAUCCACCUUUCGGAGGCCCAGUGUUGAAGGUUUUUGAUUGUCAAUAGUAUGCAAUUUUUUCAUUUUCAUUUUUUUUUUUGUUUUUUUCUUUCCCCUUUUGUGAUUCAACACAAUAUAUAGAAGAUAAAAAAAAUGUGGUUCUUCCACCUUUCCAUCCCUCAAGAAGAUGCAACAGAGGAGGAUGCUAUUUUGUAGAUAAAAAAGAAAAAAAAAGAAAAAAAAAGAAAAAAAAAAGUGUGAGCCUCUCUUCUUAUUGGGUUCAGUUAGUUUCCUCCUCUCCACAAUUUGAUUUUGCUUUUUCUCCUUCCCUCUGGCAAAUGUUGUUGUGAUGUCUUCAUUGAAAUGAAAAACUGAUUUGUUUGCAAUUUGGGUAGAAAAUAUUGGAAAGGUUCAGAGAAUCUGAAAUUGGUCAAAAUUUGGCUACUUGAACAAAUCAAAUUUCGGCUUGACAAUGACACCUCAUUAAUAAUAUACCAAUCCAAACUCUCUUCAUUUCUUCCAGAAAGGAAAGCUGGAGUUGCCUUUCCCAUCUAUUUUCCUCUAAAUUGAAAAGUCUUUAGAGAUAAUGUAUUGAAUGGCUCUUGAAAAAUAAUUACUAGUUGAUAUUUUCAACCAUUCUUCAAAAUUUGUCAGCAUUUAGAAAAGAUUGCACAUUAAUUUAGUUUGAAUUCAACAAAAUUUUCCUCCUUCCGCUUUCUUGGAUAUCUGGGUUUAUUCUUUAGAAUCUUUGCCAUCUUUUUCCACAAGAAAUCUUUUAAUUAAUUAAUUAAAAUCAGUCUUCCUCUGUAUUUCCGGGUCUUGAAACUAAGACCAGAUCAAGGGCAUUUCUUUUUCCUCCCCUUGACAUUAAUGUAAUUAAUUUAAAAUAUAGUGAUGCAUGUGAUAGCAUGUUAAAAAGGAUAAAAUAUUUUUUUUUCUAAAAUUAAAAAUAAUAUAAUGAAUUAAUUUACUUAUUUUUUUAGUUAAAAUGAUAUUAAAUCAGUGAGAGGUAAAUUAAUAAAUAAUAUUUUGUAUUUUUUUAUUUUUUUAUGUAAAUAUUAACAAACAUUUAUAAAAUUAUUGUAAAAAAGAUGUCUGAUUAAGUUUAAAUCUCAUAAUAUUGAAAUAAAAAUAUUUAAAAGAAUAAUAUUAAUAUUUUUUAAAGUUUUAAUUAAAUACAUCUUAUCACCAAUCUUUAAUUUGGAGUGUCCCAACUCCCAAGUGGUGAAAUCGAGAGAGAGAGAGUAUUUUUUAAGGUUUUAAUUAAAUACACCUGAUAAAUCCUUAACUUGGAGUGUCCCAACUCACAAGUGGUGAAAGUUGAUAGUCUGACAGUCCCAAGUGGUGAAAGUCGAUUACCCCAAAACAUGAUUGGCGUGCGUAGACGGUAGACGCUACACGUUACAGUCUGAGGGGAGUAGAAUCCAAUGUGGAUCCACAAGAAUGACUUUGUAGGGUUCAGUACUUGUGGGUGGCUGACAUCAAAGCAGUACUGUAGGUUUUGAACAUUGAGCCAAUUACCCAGGUAAAUAGUAAAUUAAAAACACCUUGUCAGAGUUGUAGUUGAAAAUGGAUGACUCGAAGGUUCAAUUAUGAUAUUUUCCAUUUUUAAAAUUAUUAACUCAAAUAAUCAAAUUCUAUCACAUCAUAAAGCAUUCAAAUUCAAAUUUUAUAGAUGGUCGAUCACAAAAGUCAAUGUAGUUUGAAAUUUUGUGUAUAAUUGAUGAUUAUUUAGUUACAAUACAUUUUUUUAGUUCAUAUUUAUUUUAAGACAAUUUUGAUGUAAGUAAGCAUAUUUGUUACGAUAAAACCCUUAAGGAUGUUGUCUUAGGGAUGUAAAAAAGGUGUAUCAUUUUCUUAUGGUUAGUAGAUUAUUUGAUGAUCAAGAGAUCAAGUAAUUUUUCCAUGUUGUUUAAUAUAAUUGGAUCAUUUACUUUUGCAUAGGUUCUUUUGUGCAAUUGGAAUAUUUAAUUUUACACAAGAUUAUAAUGCUCUCGCUAUAAAAUUAAUCCAAAGGGAUAAAACCAGAAAUUAGAAAUGAAGUAUUAGUUUAAAUCACCCCUCCCUUUAGGUAGUUUUAUCCUAUUAAUUCUUUCAAUCUCAAAGUAGCUUCAAAUUCACCAUAAAAUCAUAUCACAUAGCAACAGAAGACCUUUUUUGAGCAUAUGACCCCAUCACUUCUGUCGAAAAGGAUCCUGUAAGGGACCUUUGAACUAAACCAAGGCAGGGUGCUAUUUUCUAGGAUAAGUCAAGCUGAUAGGGGAAAUGGAUACUUCAAAUGGAGCAUAGAAAGAAAGAGGCAAUAAACGGAUACUGAAUUAGAAAAGAGAAUAAACUGUUGACCUAAACAUUAUGAAAAGCAAAUCCAAUUUCUUUGUUACAAAUGAUGAUUUCUGGCAUGUUAAGAGUCUAAAAUCCAUGCAUACAUCCUCUUUUAAGAAGAAAUAAUUUUCUAUGACGCAUAUUAUAUGACAAAUAAAAACCUCAAGCACCCUCUCCAACCAUUGGUACAAGCAAUACCAGGCCACAAGAGAAAAACGGAGAGAUAAGUAUGUAAUUUAUAGAGAAAGGAGUUGUUCUUACCAGGAGAGUGAAAAAGGUGGAAAGGGAAGAGGAGCUCACGAAUUAAGCAUCAUUUUUGCUUUGAUCUUGUCCAGAGUGCUCCUCAUCUCCCCCAUUCUCUCGCUCUGAAACUGCAGGAGCAGUAAUACAAUGAUCCUCAUUUAGUGGUCCUUCACUCUCUCCAGUAGCUUGUGGUGGUGGCACAUGUGAUCCUGAGCUGCCUUGUUGCUCGGCCAAGCUUUUGAGACCAUUCUGCUUCAGAUAUGUUUCCAAAGGAAGACUUGCCACUUGUAGAAGACUCAUCAUGCUCACUCGGUUUGAUCCCACUUGCAAGUCCUCCUCACGGUCAGGAUGGCAAUUCAAGUCUAUUUUUCCCUUGCCAGUUUCACUCAACUUGGUGGACAGAUUGUUGCUUUGGCUCCUAGAUUCUGACUCGUUUGCCAACCCAGCUUCACUCUCCGAAGGGUCAGGAUUUGGAGUGGCAAGUCUUGAGGUGCUGUCCACUUCUGCUUCAUCCUUAGCGCCCCAGAUAUUGUGAUUUAUCUGGGCAAUCUCUGCUUCACGCUCUGAUUGGCGCUUUUUUUUCCGCAUCAUUAGUGUUUUAAAACGACGUUUAACUGUCAUACAUACAUUGCAUGUGCAGGUGGGCUUGUGCUUGCCCUUCCCACUGGGGGGCUGGAUACACACAAUGCAUGAGCAGCCUGGGCGAUGCCUCGGGUGUUUGGUUGUGGUUGCAACUGAUGUAGCGGCUGGGUCGCUCAUGUCAUCUCCAAGGGCUGCAGCAUUGGCCAGAGCAUCUAGGCCGGAAGGUUCAUGCUCCUGUGCAGGCCUAUGAACUGCUGCAAUUCGACGUUUUCUGAAAUCUAUUAACCAGGAACAGAAGAAGUGUCACAAAUAUUUUUGGAUUCAAAGUAGACAAUACUCCACAGAGAGAGAAACGGACAUCAUUUCAUAAUAUGAAACACGUGUACACAUGCAUACACAAUGACUUCCCUAUUCCAACCCUGACACUAGUUGCCCAGACGUGUGCUUUCAUUCCAAAAUCAUGGUUUUAAAUUUUCAAAGAUUGAAAUUUAUUCAGUAAGUCCAAGUUUAAAACUCCAACCCCAAUGGGGAAAUACAUUAAUAAAAGAACAGUAGUGUGCAAACGUGACCCUUGGAAGGGUGUAUGUAUUAGUAGGCUUUUCAAGGAGACUACAAACCCCACUGUAUGGCAGCUUCAAGACAAAACCUGAUUGGGACAAACAUCUCCCCCGUUGGGUGUUCAAUGUAUCUGAUGUAAUGUCAUGCACCCAUUAAUAAAGGUGCUAUUAUUCAUUAAAAUUUUAACUACCAGUUGCAACUCUUCAAGACCAUACUGGGUUCUGUGGCCAAUAGCAUUAUAUCAGUAAUGUCUCCACAAUCCUCCCUGGCCACCCCCACCGACAAAUUUAUGAAAUACCCUCAUGCAAAAUACAAAUAUUAUAUAUAAAAGGAAACCAUUUCUCAAAGAAUGUUUCAGGCUGCAGCAAUUAUUUAUUUAGAUAAAAUACAAGUACAGAUGCUGGCAUCAUACCCUUAUAUUGUCUGAGAAUAUGUUCGAGUUCCCUAGGGCUCAACUCAUCUGGGGCAGAACAUGAACACCUGGAUUACAAUAACAGAAGGUCAAGGAUUUAAAGUUUCUCUAGUGGAAAAACACUUGCAUGGAAACACUUAUAACUGACCUGCUUUGAUCCCACAAAUUUUCAGCACACGUCCACUGACAUGGAACAAGAUAAUCAUGGGGCACCUUUCGCCAUUUAGAGCAACUAUCACACUGAACCCAUUGCUCCUCUCCCCUGGAUGAUCAAGCUUAGCAAAUUAGAUGGAUUCACCUAACAGAAGUCUCAAGACAGAAAUCUAGGUAUCAAAAUAGCAGACACAGAAUUUCUCAGGAUAAAAAGUGACUCCUCUUCCAUGUGAGGUACACGUGGCACCAUAAUAAAUGGGCACUAAUUGGUGCCAAAUUGUGUCUUGAUCCAGGGUUCAGACAACUGGAUAAAUUUUUUACUUAAGAACCUGGUAUUAUGUAUCAGUAGAUCCCUAUCACUGGAUGAAUGCUGCAUAAAAACAUAAGAUCAUGACAAGUUUGACACAUUUUACUUAGGAAAACAAAUUUUUGGAACUGCAUCAUUAGAAUUGGAGAUCCUUGGCAUCCAAGGAGGAAGGAGAACUUGGUGGUAGGGAUGGAGGUAGUAUUGCUGAAGGACCUUGGAAGAGUUCAUUUUCGGAGGCAGAAGUAAAACUUGUACAAAUUAAUCAAGACACUCUUUCUCCUAGAUGGGAAGUUAAAUCUAGUGAUCUCACAAGUACUGAUUUCAUAUUUUUUCUUCUUUUGAUUUCUUAGGCUUGGGGCCACCCAGUAAUUGUCACUAGACAAAACAUGGGAAAUGGAAGCAGAAAGGGCAAUUCAAAAAGAAAGAAAACAUGACAUUAGGAAAAUAAAGCAUUAAAGAAGUUUGUAAAUGAAAAAUAAAGGUGCUGAGAGUAGGUAACACUCAUGAAACCUAUUUUCCAGAUGUUUUAGCAACAUUUCCCAUGGGAAACAAAGGUUGAACAUUUUCAAAGAUGGAAAGCACUUAUGAGAAAUAAGUUACCUUAAAAUUUUUUAAACAAGUUUCCCACCAGCUUUAGAAAUGGGUUUCUGGGAAACUGAGUAGAGUUUCCAUCAUGGGGAAAGUAUUUGUAAUUAUGAUCCAGAUAGCUUCACUUUGCAUGUGGGGUUCAGUCAUUGGUGUUCAAAAAUGCUACUUCACAUGCAAAAAUGUAUUAGAAUAAGUUACCAGAAAUCCUUACCCAGAUGGGAGGGUUGUGAAAAUACUCCUCUUUCCAAAAACAGGGGGUUCCUGUAUGACAAAUAAAUAACAUGAUAAGUAAUUAUUAGUAACCUAUAUAUAUAUGUAUGUAUGAAAAAGAAACAGCAAUCACAUAGCUUGUAUGAACAAACAAGGUAGUAUUUAUGUUUAAGACUGAAACAAGGAGCCUCAGCAAAUAAUUUGUACUUUUUUCUUUUUAUUUUUGGCAAACUGCCGUUGUCAAAAUAAAGUCUGUAAGUGGCAUUUGGAUGCUUUACGAGUGUGAGCUAGCAGCAAGACAAUUUAUAAAAGCUAAUUGCAUUACUAUUUUGAGAAUUGUGGAAAGUUUGCUUACAGUGUAUGCCUCAAAUUCGUAGUCCUCAAUCACGUCAAUGACUGGCUUGACACUUGGGGGUGGGCGGAGCAAAGACUGUGCCUCUUCCCAUGUAAGCCUCAGCUCCAGAGCAUCUUGGCCAUCGAUUAGCAAUCUCUUACUUUUAGACCCAAUUGUUCGAGUUCUCUUCUUCUCUGGUACCAGCAUUGAUGGAAGCAGCAAGCCCUCUCUUGUCUUGCCUCCAUGCUUCUCUGUUUUAUGCCAGCCAAUAUCCCCACUAGCUGAAUUCAAAUGUUUUGACAAUGCAUUUAGAUGGGGAUCUGUGCUUCCCUUCAGCGACUGAAGAAUGCCAGAGUAACCACUUAUUAUAGGUUGGUUCUCAAUAACACCCGAAAAGAAAGUUUCACUUGAAUGAGCGCCAUUAGGAAUGGCAGAUAGUUGGGUGUCCUGUUUAGUUAAUAAUUUAUAUAUUAAUAUUAUAUGAUCCAGGUUUGCUAACAUGAAAACUCACUUUGUUUUCCAAGUGUGUGGAUGCAAAUAUAAGAGUUAGUUACAUCAAUGAAGUUGACUACCUGCAUGGAAACGGAGUUAGAUGCUUUCCGGAACCCCAUAACAAGUUUUCCUUCUGGAUCCAUACGGCUGAAUGUUACUGCAGCAAAAAUAUUAAAUGGAUAAAAAUGGAAUACCAAAUGUAUCUUAGCUUCUGGAAAAGAAAAAAGGAAACAGAAAAGGAAGAAAGAAAAACGAAGGGGGAAAAAGGAAAAACCACACCAUAUAUAGGAAGUGACAAAGACAGAAGAUCAUCAGGCAUAAGACAGUCAUUGAUAAUGUUAGAGCAAGUAAUUUGAUAACAUUCUCUAAAAAAUUAUCAAAUAGAAAUUUCUGUCAGAGAAUGGAAUGACAGGAUGUGACAGCAUAAUCAUUAUUGUGAGAAUCCUAAUUAAAGUCUCAUAGUUAGGACCCAAAACACAACAAAACAAAAAAAUUAAUAAGGUCUUGUUUGAAAUGGUUUCUUCAAAGCUAAAAGCUCUUUUUUAAGCUCAAUAGAGCUUCUCUAGAUGUGUUUGGAUAAUUUUAAUAAAACUUCAAAAAGCUAAUUGCCUUAAAAGAAAAAAUGAAAAAAAAAGUUCAACAGGAAAGUUAGGACAAUAUUGUUUACUGUGGAAGCCCUCUUUUUGGCUUAUUGCAGGAAAUUGUUUCAUGUUUAAUGAAACUUUUGUAGUACCAAGAUUGUCCCUCUAAAAUUAUAGACUUAGCUUCAACUUCUACCAAAAGCCAAAACGAUAUCCCAAACAAGGCCUAAGAGAAGAGUAAAGAUUAAUACAAACUAAAAUAUGCUUAGAAAUUUAGUGCCUCUGGCAUUCUUCAAGUAGAGAAAAUAGCUGAGACAUGUUUAUAUCAUGACAGUUGAAAAUUUUUCCUCUUGUAUAGCAAUACAAAUCAAAAGAAUGACGAAUGACUUCACAACCAUUAGUUUUUGUUGAUUAUUAAAUAUGCUAAAAUUGUUGUGGCAUGCCUACAUAAAAUACGAAGCAGGCAAUAGAAGUUACCAGUAUCUCCAGCUUGUAACUGCAUUGACUGUAUGCAUGGGGUCACACCCUCUAAAACAUACAUCCUGCUGUUAUUAUUGGGCCAAAACCUGAAUUGGAACACCCAUUCUUUCCCCUUCACAUCCUGAAUCCUUAAAGGAAGGCCCUCUGGUUGAGAGAUAGGAGGAAAAUAUGCCUGCAAAAUGGUUUAGUUUCAAUUGAUAUACAGAUAAGGUUCAACAAAAAUAAGCUUAACAGUUAAAUUUGGGAAGAACGAAAAAAAAUGAAAAAUGCAAAAGACAACCAAUAAAUAUUAUUUUGUCAAAUGAAAGCCAGACUAAGCACACAAUGGAAAGCUUACUUCAGCACAUGCUUUUGGGAGCACUAAACGACCAAUACGACCAGCAUCACUGGCACUUAGCAUCUUUUCAAAUAAUGGUACGAUGGUGGAAUUUGAGCUUCAAGAAAGCAUGAUUAAAGAAAUCGCUGAUCGAGUUGGUGAAUAAGCAUGAAAAUUAAAAAAAAAUUAACAGCGAAGCAAUCUAUGAACUUCAAAAUAAAAAUGACAUAGUCAAGGAUACUCUCCAGAUAUUUGCUGCAAUUCCUGGUCUGUGAUCCUCGGCCAAUAACGAGGAAGCAACUGAUUCCGACCCCGUCCCUCUGCAGGUGGCCUUGCAACACGUAUUUGUGGAACUAUACCUGUAUUUGUUUCCAAAACAGGAGAAAGUGCUGACCUUGGGGGCUUGGGCAAAAGAUGGCGAGACCUAGGCCCCUGUUGGAUGGGAGUGGAUGUUUUGUGUUGUUCCCUUUCUUCAACGACUGCACUAGGAAACACAUUUGGAUUUCCUGAAGGAGCACCCAAGGUGAUACUCAAAUUUGUCUGAACCAGAGACUCAUGUAUAUCUUUGACCAUCAUGUUUGCUUUACAAAUAUCUAGUUUGGCAUGUAUGGAAGAUCCGAUGGAUGCUUGAUUUAAAUUUGACAAACAUGUACUACCAGUUUCUCCCUGAGGUGGCAAAACUUCCUCCUGUUUCAUUUGGCCAAGAGACCCAUUUAUGUUGUCAUUUCCAGAUUGAAGAAAGUUUUUCAGUCCAUCACCCGAUGUAUCAUUCCCCAACUGUGUAAGCUUCAUCUUCUCAACACUACCACCAUCUAAUUGAUUGUCCACAGAAGUGCAACGAAUUUCACCCACAUUAUCCACUGUCAUUGCACCACUUUCAUUAGCCUUUUCAUCACCUGUCAUCUGUAUGACAAUUUAGAAGUAUCAUAAAUCCCUGAAGGUUGAAAGGAAGUGAUUAAAUUGUAAUAUUCAAUCACUUUCAAGUGAUUAAAAAAAUCUGAUGUAUGCUGCAAAGAACAAACUGAAAUGCACACCUUAUCAAAUACCAUCAUAAACAUCAGAUAAGAAAGUUGUCUGAAAUUAGAGGUAAAUUCUUACUCUUUUCUUACUAAUCCUUUUGUCACCUUCAUUAAUUGAAAGAUACAUAAAUCUACAACACCAGAUCAUCUUAAACCAUAAUUGGAAAUUGGAACUUGUUAAUAAACCAUUUGUUAUUUGUUUCAUUAAUUGGGAAGUGUUUAUAUAGUUGAACGAAACAGAUGAUAAAGAAUCAUACAAACUAAUCAACGAAUUGAUUUUGGCAGUUUGUAACUGAUAUGAUAGUAGGAUGGAACUACAGAAUUAUUAAAUGCAUCCAACCAAAAAUUAUAAAGGAGUAUGUUUGUGUAACUUUUCCAAAAGAAGUCAUAGACAUGUAAAUGAGUUGAUCUUACAGGGUGAGGUCCUGAACUUCUUAUGCAGUUAAUACAAUUUACGCCACCACUAUCAAGUAGCUCAAGCAGAGACCUGGAAGCAAUGCAUCCACAAUGGAGACGCUGGAAACACCAAUUGAAUCAUACUUUUCAACAAUAGCAUGAGUUGAAGAAAAAAAGUGAUGUGAGUUGGGAAGAAGGAACAAGAUACGAGUUACUGGACUACCAACUGACCUUGCCACAUGCAGUACAUUUCCUCCAACCAGAGUCCUUUGAGUGAAACAUGUCACAGAAAACUAGUUGCUCAAAAGCAGACCUGGAGAGAAUUCAGUUGCAAAUAGAAAGUAUCAUCUAAUAAGUCAUAUGGAGAAACCUAAUGUUUUCUUUUCCCAAUAAAUAUAGAUAAAAAAUUGCAGCUCAUCAUGUAAAAUUGUCAUAAAAUGGUGACUAUUAAGUCCCAGCAGUCAGGUUCCAGUCACAUACCUAGUUUCUCAAAAACAAUAAAUGCCAAAUAUUAUUAUUCAUAGGGCAAAAAGAUAAUUGUAAAUAAAAUUGUGUAGUAUUUCUAAAAAACAAGGGAAAGAAAACCAACCAUUAAAGGUCAAGUUCAAGCCAUAAAUUGCUAUGCACUCUAGGCAUCUCCAUGUUUCCACCUUCUAAGGUUCUCAGCAUUUAGAUAGUCGUAUCUAGGCCAAACAAGCUGGUGGAUCAAAAGUUCCUAGUCAUUUAGAAGAAAUUGUUGUCUUCAUGGGUGUCAGCCCAUCAUCAUUAGUGAGGUUUCACCGUUUAACCAGAAAUUGUUAAAUCAUCCAAAUCCAGACAUAAUUAGGAUGAUCCAGUACCAAAAUUUUUUCAGCCUCUUACAAAUCUCAAUGCAUCUUUAAAACAUAUUUAGGAUGUAGGAUGGACCAGAAACAAAUUGCAUGUGGAUACUCAAACCAAAUGAUAAAAUAUCCUUAUUUUUAUUUGCAUGUAAUAUGGAACACAUAAUAUGAUAAAAUUAAAUUUAAAAAUUUUACAUAGGGAGAAAUUAGAUUCAAAAUUUUGCUUCAUCACUGUAUGAGGGUAAAUUGUUCUGUCAUUCACAGAUUGCAAUGACUUGAUUAGUUUACUUACGGACAAGACAAAGAUGAUGAGAUGUGAAAGGCAAUGCAGAUAGCAAGUCAAAUCACAUGCCCUUAAUUUCUUACAAAUAGAAUCCUGCCAAUAGUCAUUUAAAAGCAAACAAUAGGAAGACAAAUAUUUAUUCAACCAAAUAUGGCAUGUAUUUCAAAAAGAAUAAUAAGCUCUUAAAUAAUUUGUAUUUAAUUUUAUCGGGAUAGAUUAAACUAAGGUAACUUAUCAAAUAUAUUUAUCCCCACAAAAGAUACAUCAAGGGAUAAUCAUUAAUGAAGAUGUUUAUCAAGAAACUCUAUUAUCAACCUCUAUUGAUAGCCUAAGCUCAAAAGUGUCAUCAGCACAACUUGGAAGAGAGAUAAUUGAAGCUUCAUCCCUGAAGAACUUUCUUCAAUCCAAUGGACUAACAAUCCCAAAGCUCUACAAGAUUUUGUCACUCAAACCUAUGCUCAUCAUUUACGCCCACAAACUACAAGCCAAUGAGCAUAGUAAAGCUCUUUUAAAUUAUAGAUAUAAAGCUAUACAAACAUCAUUCCUUCAGCAUUUAAGAUCUCAAAGGCUACAUUCAUGGUGAAGCUUUAUUCUUCUCUUAUAUGCUGUAAGCCUCUGCAACUGUGUCAACACAUCCCAACCUUCUGCAGCUGAAUUCACUUUGUCUGGGAACCAGCUCUUCGAGUCUUUGACUGAAGCAACUUUGAGAAAAAGAAUCAGAGGAUAUUUUCUUUAUUGAAGAAUUUUCAGAGUUUGCAUUUCAAUUUUCUUAAACUAAUAAAUCUGAGAUGGUCAACACUUUUCUCAUUUUUUUUUCAGGUUUAAGAUUUGUGUUCACAAAUUUCUAGAAAACCCAGCUAAAUAAUCUCCACCUAAUUCCUAUUUUCAAGUGAAUAAGUUGUGAUCAUGUGACUAGCAACAACAGCAAAUGAAAUAUUAACAUGCACACUUAAUGUGACAUUAGGGUAAAGGACGUGCACCAAUUUUCUUUAAAAAUAGCUACUUUAAAAUUUGUCUUGGGCUUGUGAAUUUAAAAAACACCUGGACAAUUAUCCUUGGUGGAGGUGAAGAAUAGUACCAUUGUUGUGGCAAAGAAGCUAUUGGCUCACUUGCUAAAUCACAAAAUUCAAGUUUGGGUUCUACACUAAGUCAGCAUGGGACAUGGAUUACACCAAUUAUCAAGUCUACAAAUUAUAUUUUUCAUGCCACUCAUGGUGAUUGAAGCAACUUUAAGUGGUUUAAGGCUUUAAGCAAUGAAACAAAUUGGAAGAAUAGUCGAUGCUAUCAAAGAGCAUUCACAACAUAAUCAAGAGCAAGAUGCUCACAGAAAUAAAACUUCAACACAAGCUUGGUUGAUGAUAGCAUGUUGCUAAGAUCCUUCUUGAUUCACACCAUAAGAUACUUCAAAAACCUUCUUUAAAAGAAAAGGUAUUGCUACAAAUCAGCUAAAACAUUUUAUCCUAGAAAAUUUUGUUGCAAAUCAGCUGAAGGAUUUUACCUUGGAGAAAACUCCUAAAACAUGUGACAAUGAAUCUCAAUCCCCUCUCCCACAAACCAAAGUUUUAAAAGAUGCAAGGCACACUUAUGACAUAAAGGCAACCCAACACACAUGUCUAAGUGAAAAUCGGGUGCACUCCAAGUCUAUGUGUAAUUUUAUAUCAUGUAACAAAUAUUAACGCGCAAACAUUUAUAAUAUUUUCAUAUAUCAUUAAAUAGUACUAAAAAUUUCAAUUCAAGCAAUUAAAGACAUCAAAAUUUCACACAUUUUACAUAAAAUCCAACAAAAAUAAUGCUAAAAAAAUCAGUUAUCAUUUAUUUGUGUACUAUACAUAAAAUCACAAAAUAAAUAAAUAAAUAGAUAAAAAUAAUUCAAUUAGUACUAAAAAAAGCAAAUAAAUUUGUGAACUACAUAUAUAUACUGAGCGCCGCAUCAAUGGAUAAUCGUCCUUUAUUAAGAAAUAAUUAUCACUUAUAAGUAGAUAACUGACAAACAAAAACCAUAAAGCUAUUAUAGUUAAUGAUUCGCAAAAUGGCUAAUAAAUCAAAGAAAAUAAAAAUGCCUAAAAUAUUGGGAUCAUAGGAGUUGUGCGUGUUAUGGACAACCUACACAUACAUUUUUCCUUUUCUUCUUCUUCUUCUUCUUCUUCUCCUCUUUUACUCUUCUUCUUUUCAAUCUCUUUCUUGGAAUCAAGCCUUCAAAUCUUCUUUUUUCAAAUGGUAGGGUGAAAAGGUAUUGUUUUGUCUGUUGUUUUAAAAAUACUUAGGCUCAAAAUGACCUUUUUUUUUUCUUUUCUUACUAUGGUAGAAAAAAAAAAUAACUGCAAUUAGGUGCACUUUUUAUUGGCCUUGUGCCUUGCUCUAAGGGUGUGCCUUUUACACCUAAGUUGUGCCUUGUUGAAUGCACCUCUCCUUGUUCUAAACGAGAUGCUAGAGGAGCCAUGUCAUGUCACCUUACCACUGAGAGCAUCUUCGAAAACCAUGCCAUACACACCAAGAAGAGUUGAUAAGGACACCAAUCAGCUACCAAUCAUUAAAAUUUCAACAUUUUGAUAGGACAAGGAAAUCCAAGGCAACACAAGGGUCAAUUUAUGGGGACAUGCAACAAUCUCAAUCUUUUUCCGUUUUUUUUUUUUUUUAAGGCAAAUUUUUGUCCCCAUAAGGGACUUGAACCUGGAACUUGUGUUUAACUCUUCAUUCAUGUACAAGAUCCCUAAUAAUUCAUUGAAACUAGCUUCACUCACAUAACCAUCAUUUUACAUAUGAAGCGGUAAACCCUAUAGCAAAUCCUAAGAGAUCACCCAUUUUAUUUUUUAUUUUUUAUUUAUAAUGAGGAAUGCACCCUGCCAAUAAGGCAUUUAUCCCAACUGUUGAUAAAGCAAACCCUGGAUAACAUAGGUCCACUUCUUUAUCCUACACACUUAAAUUGAAGGAAAGCAUGAAGCAAACCUAGAUGAAAUGGGUCUAACUCCCCUACACCACUUAAAUACAAGGGAGGCUUAAACUAGAUUAAGAAAGAUCAGCCCAUUUUAGAUUUGUUCUCAUAGGUGAUAGAUUAUGAAGUAGUUAUUAAAUUUAAUUUAUUGCUUUUUAAAGUAAUAAUACAUGUAUGGCAUGCCCUAAAAUGAGACUACCUCAAAUAAAUUCCAAAUAAUGUGUGAAUAAAUUAUAAUAAUAUUACACAAAAACUAUCAGCAAAUAUUAAGAAAAAUAUCAUUGUCUUCAAGACCCUAGUUUUUGCGUUUUUCUUUUGUAGGUAAAUUAUAUACAAAUACAAAUAUAGUAGGAAAAUCAUUUAAUAAACAAGGUUGUAAUAGUAUAUAAAAUGUAUGCAAGGCGCACCAAGGCCAAAAGAAAAGAAAAUAUAAAAGGAAAUUGACCCACCUAAGACAACCCCAGAUUACCAAUUAAGUUCAAAAAGGAAAAAUUAGCAUCUUCCACUCAACAUUGGGCUGACUAAAAGAGACACUUAACAAAUCAGUUUAUUGCAACGAAGUCCAGAUGUUCUACUUUUUCAAAUAUUAUAUUUUUACAUAACUCAUAAUUAUUUUUUUUAAAUCUAGGUUUUGCAACCAAGUUCAACACGUUUUCCAACAACAUUAAGUUCCCAGUGAUGUUUCCAUACUAUUUAAGUUUUCAUAGUCCACAAUAAGCAUCUAAAACAUAAUUUAGUUCAAAUGGAAAUUUAACUUUAUUACAAAACAAAAUUCAAUUGAGAACAUUAACGUUUAGGUUUAUUCUAGGUGAAAGGCCUAGCCAUGCCCAUUGACAGCUAGGGUCAGGGGCCGAUUAGGCUCAAAAAGUAGUCUCAAGCCCAAUCAGAAACUGUAUGGGCCGAGCCUGAACUCAAGAUAAAUGCCUAUGAUCCAUUGGGCAAGCCUAAAUGAGUCCACAAUUGCCUUAACAACAAAAAUAUUGUCAUGACUGUUAGUGAUUGCCAGUCAUGGCUAAAUUUUAACUACCAUGGGCAACUACUGUUCAGAAAAGGCACUGUUAUCUUCAAUCUUAAUAUAAAUUAAGCAUAUGAUGACAUUAAAAAGGUCAUUUUAUCCUGAGCAUCAUACUGCAACUUUCUUUUCCAUUUCUCUCUUCGAAUCACUAACUUGACCAUUGGAGAAGGUGUUCUAUAACCAUCCCGAACAUUUUUUGUUUGCAUGUUGUUGGAUUCAGGCUGCUCACUCCAUUGAGGUUAAUCUACAUGAAAGUUGUUGAUGUUAGCUGAUUGUGGAAAUUGACAGCUUGACUGAUUGUGAUUGACUAAAAUAUAAAACUUAUACAAGCUGUAAAUUAAGGUUAUAAAUCAGUGAUAAAAUUAGGAUUAUAAAUUAAGGAUUCCUAGCUUGUUUGUAUAGUUGACUAAUAGUGACUACAUUCAAUGUAUUCUUGGAUUAUUUUCCUUUAUUGUUUUACCUGUAACCUUAUAUAUAUUAAUUGUAAAUUCCUCCAUUAAUACAAGAAUGCAAUUCCAUGAUUGUUUACAUGGUAUCCAGCAAAGUACUAUUAAAAUUGCUUCUCGUUUCUUUGGCCUAUAUUGGUGAAGCCAAGUGCAUUCUUCUUUGCUACAGCUUUAACAUUUCGUGGCCUUCAUUGCUGAAAUCGACAUAGAGAAAUACAAUCUUCAUUGUUGGUUCUCCCACAUUCUCUCUGCUUUUAUUCUCUUUCUCAAUAUGUCUGAAAUAUCUAGUAAUGUCCAAAUCUCUUCCUCCAUAAAAAAUUUCGAUCAAGUUGUAAUCCACUCUUCCUCUAGUGAAUACCAAAAUCUCCAAGCGUCAUUUAGGCUUAAUAGCCGGAGUUAUCUGGUUUGGUCUCCACAUGUGAAGGCAUCCCUUGAACGAAAGGGGAACCAAACAAUUUAGUUAGAUCGGUACCAAGCUCAAAAGACCCACAGUUUGUACCGACAAAACCCACCCCAUUGCCAUCCCUCUCUAUGGUGAUCUAUUGAUUUAUCAUCUAUUGUUAGAUAUAAAGAGUAGAUCAUUAAUUUUGCAAACUUAUCUAUUAAUCUAUUUAUUGAACAUAAGAAUAAGGAUGCAACAUAAAAUGGUUCCUUGUGGUGCAGGAAUAAAUAAUCCCAAAAUGUUGAAAGUGUUGCCAAAAUUCAAGAGUAAGGUUUCUUUUUUAUCACCUUAUUUUCCCUAUUGUCAAGUUCGUUUAGAAGCAACGGAAAUCAUUUGUCCCAUAUUGAUUCACAAACAAAUGCUUUGAGAUUAUUUGUUAAGGAUCAAUGAUGAAUUUUUAUACGAUGUAAGUAGUAUCAUGCAAACACUACACUGAAAUAAGAACAACAAAAAUUUAAGGUGACCUACUUAAGAACAAUUUAACCUUUUUGAGGGUUUUCUUUUUUUUCUUUUCUUGCAAACAAGAAGUACAACUGAAAUUUCCUUUCUUGCAAACAAGAAGCAUACAACUGAAAUCCCAAUAUAUAACUAAAACACCAUAGGGUAAGGAUGGGCAUUGUUCUCUUGAACAAAAAGCACAAGCAAUCCUCCAAGAAAGAAAAUCCUCUAGGAUCAUAGUAAAUAAAUCUGUGUUAACAAUGCUUCCUAGACGUUUAUUGGAAAAUAAACAUCCACAAGUACCAAAUACAACUGAAAUCCCAAUAUACAACUAAAACACCAUCGAACAAGGACUACUAUAACACCAAAAAAUAAAAUAAAUAAAAUAACGGAAGAAAGCUCAUGGAGGUAAAAACUCCUAAAAAAACACCUUGAAAAGAGAAGCACUACACUUUGCUGACCAGUCUGUUGGUUGGCCAAGUGAAGGAUCCACCAAACUAGAUUUGGAGAUGGAAAAUUUUAGGUAAUUAGUCAUCUCACUUUUGAGGGUCUCAUAAGACACCAAGAAGAUAACUAAACCAAGUCACCUCCCACUAGGAAGUGAUUAAAACCUAUAGGAAAAGCUAAGGUGAAAUCUUUAAGUAAUGCCAACUCCAUAGCCAAUCUCUCCUCAAUGGGCUUAGAAAAAGAUUUACCCACCUCUCCUUAAUGAUCCUGGAAGACUCUGCCAAUACCCAUUUACCUUGGGUUUCCCAAAAUGACUCUAAGGGUUCUUUUAUUUGCCUUUUACAUCACUUUUCAAUCUAACAACAAGUUCAAUCAAGACCAAGGGAAGGCAAUAGAAAUUUGAGGCAACUAACUUGGGGAUAAGUCAAUCAAUUUCUUUUCUCACUUUUUCAAUGUGCAACACUAACCAAGAGAAAGGUGAUGUCACUAGAAAUUUGAAGUUACCAACUUGGAAAUAAAUUAACCAACAGAGGUGUGGCUGAUAGGAAUUUGAGGCAAUCAAUUUGCAUAUUCUUAUGAAGUUUUAUUUCUUUUGCUCUUACACUACUCUAUUUCUUUCCUAUUUCUUUGCCACGUCAAAAUAUAUGAAUUUCAUCUCCUCUUAGACCAAUCUUAAAAAGAGUAUAGGAACCUUUACUUAUUAAUUGACUCCUUUCCAUUGUAUACCUUCUGCCACGUCUAAAUACCCUCUUCUCUUACAAAAAAGGUCAACUGAGACCAUGGCAAGGCUACAAGAAACUUAAAGGAGACUAAGUUGGAAACAUUUUUUGUUCCUUCAAAAUAUUUGUCACUUCCCUCUUUUGUUACCUCUAAUGUCCUCUUCUGUGAAAUUGAUCCAGAAUCAAGUUAACCAAAGCCGAGCAAGGCUUAUAGAAACUUGAGGAUUUGAAUCCAGGAAUGAGUUGAUCAAGACUGAGGCUAAGCUAAUAGAAAUUUUGUGGUUACUGAGGCCAGAAAAUUCCUAAGAACGAACAUUUCUUAUUCCUAUGCUGCAUCAGAACGCCUCUACUUCACUCUAUUCCUUUGCUGCUUAUUUCCUUUUCCACUAUGACUCAGAAUAUAGAAUAUCCCCCUCUUCUUUCAAUUUCUUUUCAUCCUUUUCUUUUCUCUGUUUUUUGCGGCUUCCCUCCUCUUCUGCUACUUCAGAAUAUUCUUUUAUCCAUUCUGUUUGGUUGCUGCAUUUCUUUUUAGCUACAUAGGGAAUAUCUUCUUCGUCUUCUCUGCUCAAUUUCUUUGUUGCUUAUUUUUUCUCUUCGGCGACUCCUUAUACACAGCCACAAAAUUAUACCAAGAAAAUCACCAAAAAUGCAACAGAAUACAGAGCAUCCUCUUCCUCUGCUAAGAAUAAAAAAAUAAAAAAUCUUCCCCUUGUCUAUUUGGCGAAAUCCUUCCUCUCUGCUACUCUCCAUCUAUAAACAGCCAUAUAAUUGUACUAUCAGAAACACAUACAAUAAGAAAAUAACUUCUUCCUCUUCUUGGUUCAUUUCUUUGCUGCUUCCCUACUGUUCUUCACCAACAUUCAUUCAGAGCUAUUCUUUGGGUUGUUGUAUUGAGUGUACAUCUAAUACAGUUGGUUGUAUUAUAUCCUGGAAACAGGACAUUGUUAACGCAUGACACCAAGCCAUUGUCUCAGAGAAACAGAGUUCAGACACAUCAACUGAUAAGUCCACCUCAAUUCCAUUAUUUAAUUACUGAAGUUCAUAUUCUUUGUAGCAUCUGAGCUCUAAGUUUAUACUCCGGUCACAUGAGCUACAGAAAAAAGAAAAUAAGAAAAUAGACAGAGCACAGAACACCAUCUGUUCCCUCCUCUCUGCUAAAUUUCUUUGCUACUUAUGGUUCACCAACAUCACUAUAGCUGCUCUUCAGACCCAGAGUCAUUUCUGUAUUCUGGGAAUUGUACUGGGCCCUAUCACCUGUUAUUCUUGACCAUAUCUUAAAGAAACAGAUCACACAGCUCAAUUGAUUAGUCCAUUUAAUUUUCAUAGUUCGCUUCGGCUUAUUUUCGUGAUAUCCAAGUUAUUAGUUCUUCACUACACUAAAAAGAUACCCAAUAUGCCAUUAAUUGCAAUCAACAAACAUGCUAAGAAAAAGCAAGCUGACAAACUCAAAACAGAAAAGGAAACAAACGUAGCAAAACAAAACACCCAGUAAUUAAACCUCCAAUAAACCCAUAAAUCCCAUAAGUAGUCCACCAAAAGUCCACAUGUACUAAAUUAAAACCUCCAUUAAACCCAUAUAUCCAGUACACAGUCCAUAAGUAUUUAGUGCAUUAAAUUAGCAAAUAACAACAAGGAAGAAGAGAUCCAUCUGGAUUACCCGCACUUAUCGCAGAGAAUGGCGAAAUCACCAGAUCGCAAAGCCCAACCUUUUCUCCACUCGAUCGUCGACCCCGACGACGCCCCGGGGCACGACACGUUCGCGCAAGUUUUCGAUGCCAUUCAUAAACUCAAUAACGCCUGCAAAACUCACAAAAACAAAAUCCAAUCAAACAAACAAAAACCCUAACUCACCAACCCGGCUCCCCGAAUUCAAUCAACACCACAACCGAACGACAAAAUUGAUCAACCCAGACAAAACAACACGAACACGAAAAACCGUAGAAGCGAAGCUAACCCCACAGCUAUAUCCCGAACCACUCCCUCCGUCUGUAAAUCAGAGCACGAACACGCCACUACAAACUUUCACUCCAUCUUCCGAGUCCUCGAACUCCCGAGAUUUGAUCGAAGAAUGGCGGCGGGGCAGAAAUCCUCGGAUCAGCAAGGCGUCGAACACCGCCGGCCACCGGCGAGUCCAAUCGGCGAUCGAGUUUUGGGAAGAAGCGUGUGCAUGCAAAGCCUCAGAGAGAAAUAUAAAUAUAUGGAGAAAUGGAGAGAGAAAGAGCGAUGUAGAGAGAGAAAGUGAAAGAUGCAAAAAUGCAUGCACGACACUUCAAGACUCGGCGAACUCUCCCCACUUACCCCCCACUGUUUAUCUUUUUAUUUUUCAUUUUAAAUUUUAAAACCUCUCCAAAAAAUGGAAAAUUACCCCAAAAAAAUACUCCCCACUCUCACACCUUCUCAUAUCUAAUCACUCGCGCUUUGAUUCGAGGUCUUCUGAGUUUAAUAACGAGAAUGAGUCCAACUGCCAUCCGGGGUGGCGAGUGACGUACUGGCGAGUGCGGAGAGCGUGAGGAAGAUACCCAUUUUUUCAGGUUUUGAAAUAAUUUUCGAAUUAGGGCGUCAGGACACCACCGAAAAAUGCGCCACUAGCCGGUUUUUAAUCCAAUAGCAUAUUUCGCAUGCAAUGGAGUCGGGCGUUGAAUUACGGAAAUACCCCCCGAAAUACGUGGAUUUGACGGCCGAGCCUUCGUGGAUACGGCGGUGUUGGUGUUCCAAUGGUGCAGACUGGAGAGUACGCUUACCCGGGUCCUCCACUUCAACGGUCUCAUGAGUAAACGCGUGACCGCCGUGGGUUUGUUCUUCUUUUAGGAGUCAACGCCAGGGUGCUACAUCCGACGGUGAAUAUGCUCUGUGACGUCAUUCCAUUAGGUGAUUAUGAUGCCCGGUGGGCCCCAGAACCACGGUACCUACCGCUGUGAAAGAGAAAUGCUAACGCACGCGCCGGGGGUGGACCGUUAAGCUCUGCACGAUGUUUUACCAUAAAUAAAAUAAUUAAUUUGUUGAAAAAAAAACUAUAUUAUAAAAAAAAUGUGACUUCAACGAAAUAAUUAGAUUUUGGUGAUUAACAUUUUUCCAUUUUUAUUACUGGGUCAUAAUUACAAAAUUAUAAAAUAUGUAACAUUUAAGGCAUGAUCAAAUAUUGGGUUGUAGCUUUUUCCAAUUUUGAUUAAUGGGUCAUAAUUGCACAUGCAUUCAGUAUGGUGGUAAAUUGCUGGUGUGAAUAUGUAUAUUUAUUAAUCUAACAAUUCAUAUUUAUAAAUAACUGUCAAUCUUAUACCCUAUUUGUAUUAAUCCAUAAUAUUAUCUUUUAAUAUAAUAGAAUUAUUUCACUAAAAUGAAGGGAAUAAAAAAAAUGAAACAUAUUGCAAAUAUUUUUUGAAUGACUCAUUCCCGGGCUUAAGAGUUGUAUUGUUACACCCCGAUGCUAUCUAUAUUUAUUAAUUAUUAUAUAAAACAUUUGUAUUACUCUCUUCUAUAGCAUAUUAUGAUUCACCUCCAUUUUCAUUAUAUUUUCCAUUUUCAUUAUAUUUUCAAUACUCUUCUCACGUACCAAAUUCAGCUUAUUAUUUAUUUUUUUAACUUAUUUUUCAUACUAUCUAUAUUUAUUAAUUAUUAGAUAAUACAAUUAUAUUAUAUAACAUAUUUAUUAUAAUAACCAUGUUACUAUCAUAUUUAUAGUUUUUAUAUUGGUCCACACCAUGAAUAUAUAUGUUAUACUUAAAAUAGUACACAUCAAAUCAAUAAUUUGUUGAAAAAUAAAUAAAUUAUAAACAUGUAAUAUUUGGGGAAUGAUUAAAUUUUGGUGACUAACAUUUUCCAAUUAUGAUUGUAACGACAUGUACCCAAUUGUGUAGGACUUAAAACGAAUAAUAUCCACUUAGUUUGGAACAAAUCGUUAUAAAUGAUAUUAAAGUCGAUUCUUCAUCUCGUAUAGGGGUUUAUUUGGUCUCAUAGGAAGUGUUUGUUUGUUUGGUUCCUCAAUUUCAUGAGACACAAUUAUGACAUAAUGUCUACAUUAAGGAUGUUUAUGAUAUCCUAUAUCAAAUAGAUAAGAAAGUUUUUAGUGUUAUAUAAGCAUGAACCUAUUUUAACCAUAUAUAUGCGUUUUAAAUUUAUAAGAGCCAAUUUGGACUUAGAGCAAACAAUAUUUAUACAAUUGAGAUCAAAUUAUUACAAAUUGUAUAAAGUUGACCGAUUUCAAUGUGAGGGUUUGUUUGACCCCAUAUGGGUAUUUGUCUCUUUGACCUUGAUACAACGGCGACGUUGUGUCUAUAUAAAAAGCCAUUUGUGAUAUUCCACAUCGGAUAUGAAAAAUAUUAAUAUGAAUCAUUCUUAACAUUGUAGACAUGUUUUAAGGUUACGAGGAUUUAAAGGGUCACGAAGUAGACAAUAUCUACGUAAAUAAAAGUAGGUUGGAUUGUUACAAUAAGUAUCAUAAAUACAUAUUUAUAUUUAUUUAUCUAACUAUUCAUGAAUAUUGAUAUAUUUUUGUAUCUUUUUUUUAUUAUUAUUAUUCUUUUAAAAAUGUUAUUUUUCCAUAAAUUAAUGCAUAAAAAUCCACAUGGGAUAUAAGAGUGUAAUCAUCAUCAAUUACCAUAUAUAAAACUAAUAUAUGUGUAAUAAUGAUGACUUCAUUAUUAUUUCACUAAUUUGCUUUCUUUAAGAAAAUCUUUUACAUUGGUUCAAAAAUAAAUCGAUACACAAAUUAUUUAUUAUUAUUUUUUUUAAAAAUAACACCUAUGACAAAAAUUAUUAUGAUCACGUUAUUGCCAAAUAACACGUAUGAUAUAAUAAUUGUAUUAAAAUUACACUCAAAGGGUUCAUAAUGGUUGGUAGGCUAUUUUAUGCUAGUAGUCCUAUUUUCCCACUCCACUCAUCAAUCAUCUAUCCUCCACUCAAUUCGUUUUCUCAUACUAUUCCCUGCUAUUCCUCUUUCCUAUCUUACCCCUCUUCACAAACAAUUUCGUCUUCUACUUUCUUCACACCUUCACUUAAACCCUAAUUACCUAGUCAUUCAUAUUGCUAAAAGAAAAUGUUAGUGUAUGUAAAGAAAUAUAGAACAUUACCUCCAUGAAUUUCACUGAUAUGGGCUCUGCCAAAUUUACCUACUUUUCAAUCAUUUUCUACUCUCAAAUUAAGCCCUAAUUUCAGUAGAAAACCCCAAUUCUUUACUCAUUUGAAAUACCACAUAACCAAGGGGGAAACUUAUCUUUAUCUUUCAUUCUUCUGUCUUCUCCCGAAGGCCCAGAAAGUACGAGAAAAUAAAGAGCAAGCGUGGAAAAUUUUCUCAACACAGCAGCAGAGUAGAGAAAGUUGCUCCAGGUUGUUUUCCACACAAAAUCAAUGGCAGCCUUCAACAUCUCUUCAGCUACAAUCUACCGUACAUCGUCUUCAUCUUCAUCUUCAUCAUCUUUGUCUUUGUCAUCAAAGCUGUCGGUUCUCCCAAUGCGGUGUGCUCCUCCAAGGCCUUACCGUUCUAGAUUCUCAAGUAAGGCUUUUGCUUUUUUCAAGAGAUUUUUUUUUCUUUCGGUUUUUACUGUUUUGGUUAAUUUAUGGAACAAUUUGCAGAGAUACUUGCGUUUACGAGCAAUGAUAUCAAGGUGGGUUCCAGCAUUGAGGUAGAUGGAGCUCCAUGGAAAGUUUUAGGUACUGUUCUUUGAUUUUCUCUCUGUUGCUUUUUAAUGAAAUAGUUGGGUUUUGGAGGUAAUUUGUGUGUUAUUCCAAUGCUCAUGAGGAAGAAACACGAGACACUGAAUGCUGUAAUUGAUUCAGUUUCUAACAACCACAUUGUGGGAAUUUGUAUGUGUUGUUGUAUUGAAGUUGCUGCAAUCUGAGAUAACGUAUUGGCUAAAUGGUGGCAUCUCAGUGAAAAGUUUAUUACUUUUCAAGAAAUUAUCGGGUUUUAAAUUCCCAAAAAAACAUCAAACACUGAUGUUGAAUAUCUCUUCUUCUUCUUUUUUUCCCUAGGUAAUGUGACCUAAUGGAUGUGUUGCAAUUUGCACUAUUAGAUUCUGAGUCCUGUAUGCACUGAGACCCUGUGAAAGGAAUUUGGUAGGAAAUCAUGAAUGUGCAUAUUCUUUUUGCAUGCUUGUCCGGGACUAUAUCUAUUGUGAUUAUUUAUUAAUUGUGUCACUUCCCUAUAUGCAGAGUUUCUUCAUGUGAAGCCUGGGAAAGGGGCAGCAUUUGUAAGGACCAAAAUGCGCAAUUAUGUAACGGGAAACACUGUUGACAAAACUUUUCGAGCUGGUUGUUCGGUAAUAUUUUUUUUUUUUUUUUACUAAAACUGGUUUAUUCAUUAUCUUGGUGCUAAUAUGUUGUAGGUUUUAUUUAGUUUGCAAUGAACAUGAUCUUAAAGACUGUCCUUUGGCAAUCGUAAUGUAGUUGUUGCAACAUUAGGUUUCUCUUUUUCAAUGCACCAGAAAAGACUUGAAAGAUGGAAGUGCUUUUCCUGUUUCCAUUGGAAACCUAUUAAGUCAUUAUAGUUUAGGAUUCUGUCAUAGAUUUUGCAUUUUCUUCUCCAAGUUAUUAUAAUUUGGGAUUCUAUUUUAAAUUUCCCAUUUUCUUCUCUGAGAUUUUUUUUCUUAAUUAACAUUAUAAUACUAUCUUGGCAAGGUUUAAUUUGGAUUCAUGGUGAUGUAGCUCCAAAGUGAAUGAACUAUGCAAUCUCUCAUAAUGUGAUUGUGGGUUUGACUACGUAAUUUCUCUCUAAUUUCAUUAGUUAUUCUUCCACCUCUUUCCUGAUUUUCUAUUGGCCUGUGGAUUAAGAAACUAAAUAGUUUGGGUUCUUAAUUUGAGCAACCUAAAGUUGUGUGGCUCUCCCUACAAUAGUUUAUCCAUGUUGGAUAUCGUACUUGUGCCAGGGUCUUUGUUAGAACAAUGUAAAUGUAAAGUAUUUAUAAAUUGCAUUUCAAACCCUUAGUCACAAAGCCAUAGGGCAGGAUUUAUGAUUGCUGAGGUGGGAACUGUUCUUGAGGACAACAUUGUAAUGGCUGGCACAAAAUGGUUGAAUUGCAUCAUGAAAUAAAGCUUCUACUCAUUUGUCAGCGGCACAACUAGGCAUGUUUAAUGCCUGCGCAGCCCUUGUGCGCCUUUGUUGGCCAUUCAAAGCCCAUAAGUCAAGCAUGAUUGGCUUAGGUUCCAUGAAACUUAGUUUUUUGUUUGAGUCUAUGGACCAUAAAAACAAUUUUUUUAAGGUUCUUGAAAGUUUAAUGCUGGAAACUCCAAUUCCUCUUAUGCUUGCAGCCCAAAAAUUUAGAUACUUUUCUCCAUUUUUUCCAAUGUUAAGAAUAAGAAUAUAAAAUUAAAGAGUGCCUAACAAGAAAACCAAUGUACAAAGGACACAUAUGAAGAGCAUUGAAGACAACAAGAACUAUAAACAACACCUUAACCCCUCCCGUAUAAACAAGUGAAGAAUCAAGAAUUGAAUAAAGUUACAAUCCAAAAAAAUAUUUGACCACAAGAAGAUAUUUUCAAAUGGGUCACUCAAUGGCAUUUUCAAGCUCUCUAUGCCCUCAAAAUAUCUUUUAUUUCACUCCCUUCAAAUGGAUCAAAGAGGAAAAAGGGAACUAAUCUCAUGCUAAUAUGAUUGACCAACUCCUUAUCCUGCUUGCUGAGGACUUUAAAGGCCAUUCCUGUUUCAUCAACUAAAAAUGUAGGUACUAUGUUGAUACAAGUCCUAAGUUGCUUCAAAACAAUGAAAAAUGCUGUUCAAUUUCAUCUUUGGGAUGCACUUUCUUAUAAAUAAGCCAGAAGAAUCUACCUUAUUCAUCUCAUGUUAGCAAAAUUUUCAACUAUUACAUACCUUAACGUAUCCUAGUAUUAUAGUCAUAAUGAUAUCAGGUCUCAUGCAACAAUUUAGGCACAUGUCUUUUCCUAAUUACAUUUUUCAAAGCCUUAAAUAAUUCUCAUGCUAUUAGAUGCCUUACUAACUUCUUAUAUUCCUUCUAUUAUCUUCUUGCAUCUCUAGAUAGAUGAGGCCAAUGUGUACAAGGAGACCAAGCAAUACACAUAUAAAGAUGGUGCACAGUUUGUCUUCAUGGACCUGGUAUUGCUCAUUUUCCUUUUCAUAUAAUUUAUUACUCACUUCAAACCUAUCAGCUUAACUAAACCUUGUGCCAGCUGCUUCAGUUAUUCUGAUUCAUUUUUCACUUAUCAAUAUGUGAAAAAUAUUUCUUCUUAUCAAUAUGUGAAAAAUAUUUCUUCUCAUAUGAUUGCAAGAUGCUGGCUCUUAUUACUGCUUUCCACAGAGUACAUUUGAAGAAAUUCGACUUAAUGAGUCUGAUGUUGGAGAGAGGACAAAGUGGCUGAAAGAGGGCAUGGACUGCAAUGUGCUAUUUUGGAAUGGAAAGGUACCAAAGAUUUUGAAUAUUUAAGUAUUUAAACUUUUCUCAUGAUCUUUUCAUUCAAGUUUUCUGUCACGUGUAAAGAGAGAAUAUGUGUUGAAUGUGUUUAGGAGAUUGUGUUUUAUGGCGAUUUAAUGCACAAGAGUGUGAGUUUGCAUGGAUAACUAAGUUCUUGGAAUAGCACUCUUCAAAUGGCUUACAAUAAUGAAUCAUAAUCUGAUGAACAUUAAGCAUCACAGAUUCAAGGAUGUACAUGGAAUUCACAUGUUACAUGCAUUAGCAAACUUGUGCAUGGUUACCAUUCAUUUUAUGAGAGGCGAAACAGCUGAUUGAUUUUUUCCCCUGGUAAUCAAAUUAACUAUUUAUAUGGUUGCAGAUUAUUGAUUUUGAACUCCCCAUUACAAUCAAGCUGACUGUUGUUGAUGUUGAUCCUGGCAUUAAAGGUGACACUGCACAAGGUAAUGCGAUUUGGUUUCUAUUGAAGUCAUGACACAAUGGCCUACUGAGUUUACAUGCCCAUCAAUCCAUGCCUUGGGGAUUACCAGUGGAUGGAUUUGGUCUUUAAUCCAUGUCCUGGGGAUUACCAGUGGAUGGAUUUGGUCCCACGCAAGAAUCUGAUCUUGGAAAUGAUAAAACAUAUGAUCAUUCUACCAUUGCUCUGAUCUGCCACAAACAGAUCAGAUGUCCUAAUCGGGUUAUGCAGGGCCUAAUUCAUCUGCUGUAUGACCAUAGUCUUGGAUUGGAAUGGUUUUAAUUAGGUUUGAAAAGUGCUUCACCUAUCAAUCAAAAUAUCGACAACUUUGUUUUCUUCAUCCAAGUAGCAGCAACUUAAUAUUUGGGCAGCGAUGUGACAAUCAUAGAAAUCAGUUUUUUUGAAGUAAUAAUAUGCCGUCAUUGGUUCACCCAUUGUGUGUUUGGCAAUGUUUCUUCAAUUUUCUUUUUUGCUUUUUUUUUUUCCAAUUCUUGACAUUCCUAAUCGCAGCUCACCUCUUUUUACUCUGGGAAUGCUCAGUUUUCCCCCCGCAAUACUGGUUUAGUAGCCCAAAGUGUCUGUAUGUGGUUGGUGAUUGUAAGAAUUUGUGGGGAGGGAAACAGUUUGUUAGACAGCUUUUGCUUCUAAUUUGGCAAACAAUAUUUUCUGGCAGGUGGAUCGAAGCCAGCAACUCUCGAUACAGGUGCUGUUGUCAAUGUCCCUCUGUUUGUAAAUAUAGGCGAUCAAAUAUUGGUGGAUACAAGAACUGGGGAGUACAGGAGUCGCGCAUAGCCAUAGAGAUCCCUUAUCUCUCGUCAUCUCCACAAGAUUCUACCCUUAUAUGUUUUUGUUAACUACCAAUGCACUGUACCCAUUGAAUGCAAGGAAAAUAAAUCAGAGAGGCUAGAUAGUAAAACAGUUGUAAUCUUAAUUUUUCUACUUUACAUUGUCGAUUGACAUGAUGAACUCUUUUUUUAUGUCAGAAGGGAAAUUCACAUUCAUUUCAUAAGACAUUUCUGUUUAGAGAAGGUUAUGAACAUGCUCGCUCAUUCGUCCUAAGCAUUAGAACUCAGCAAAAGUUUCCGGAAACGCUAGUGUGAAUUUUUGACACUAUCAAAUUCAUUGAAGGCAUGAGCAUUUUUGAAACCACAUGCAGCUGAAAGAAGUAUACAAUACAAAUAGGAAUGUACAAACCAUUGAUCUGUCAAGUCUACCAUUUGGUAUGAAUGCUCACAAGCAACAGUAGAACCUACAACUAACCAACAAUUGCAUUCUUGCGGCUUGAAGACUUGCCUGGCCUCUUGUGAGGGAUCACACCUCUCUUCAGAGCUGCACCAUAUACAGUACAAGCACUCAACCAUCUCCCCUGUUGAUUGAACUCAUCAAUCAAAAGGUUAUAACAAAUCCUACUGGGAAUUCUCCUCCCUUCGCACAUGAGAACCAAGAUCGACAGUGCCUCAUCAACCCUUCCCUCACUGCAAAGUGCGCGAAUGACACUGUUGAAGGUGAUCAUCCUGGGAGGAAAAUAUCCAAACCCUACCAUCUCAUUUAAAUACAUCAAAGCCUUGUCUACCUCCUUGGCAACACAAAGGGUUUGGAUCACUAGGCCAUAUGUAUUGGGGUAAAUGGCACAGCCCGCGUUAAUCAUUUUCUCAAACACUUCAUGGGCAUUUUUCAACAGCCCUUCUUCUUUCCAUGAUCUCCUGCACAAUCCCCUCAACAUGGUGUUCAUCAUCCUCUCUUCCACUUUGAAACCGGCCUCCACCAUCUCCCUGUAAAUUCGCAGCGCAGAAUGAAUUUUGCCCCACUUCAAUAGUCCAUUCAACAAAGUGCUAUAACUGAUAUAAUCAGGCAUGCAGUUUCUUUCUUUCAUGUUCUUCAAUAGAUGAAUCCCCUCUAAUGGCCUUCCUUCCUUGCAAUACCCAUUGAACAGGGUAUUGAAAGUGACCACAUUUGGGGUCAUUCCCAUUUCCAGAGCUUCAACAAGCAACUCCAUUGCCUCAUCCGACCUACCCACUUUGCAAAACCCAUCCAUAACAGCUGUAUAUGAAUAUAGGUCUGGUUUUACUGAAGAUUUCUUGAUUUUCAUCAAGAAUUCAUACGCAUCCUCCACCCUCCCCACAUAGCACAACCCCUUUAACAGGCAGUUAUAUGUCUGAACAUUACCUUUGCAUCCAAUUCGACCCAUGAACUCCAAAAUCUCCACAGCUUUCUGCAAUUUACCCCUUCUGCAGAAUGAAUUGAUCAGAAUAGUGAAUGUUACUACACUUGGUUGAAACCCAAUUUCCACCAUGUGCUCAAGAACUCGUUUUGCUUCACUCGGGUCAUUUUUCUUGCAGUGGCACUUGAUAAUAAUGGAAAAAGUCCAAGAAUCUGGCACCAUCCCAUAGGAUGAUAUAUCACAGUAGAGUUUCAGCGCAAGGUCAGGCUCAUCUGCUAUGAAUAAAGCCAGGAGCACAUCAUUGAAGACAGAAAGGUUCUGAAAUGCCCGUUCUCUCUCAAACACAUGGAUAAUUUGGAUUCUUUCAGAAGUGGGUAAGGCUCUAAUCCUAUCAACAAAGUUAUGGACUUGUAAUCUAGUAUUUCUCCUAUCAAAGUCCAUGCUAUGUGGUUCUUCCUUGAUGGGUCUGUCAAUGGAGACUCCAUUUGGACAAAUCCUAUCAGUUGCAUUGGCGAUACUGAGAGUGCUUUCUGAUGAAUUCCUAACAGAGAAUGAGAGAGUGGUGGCAUGGAGAAGCAACUUACCUUGUUGGGUUUUGUUGUGGUUGUUUCUGAAGAAGCAAGGGCUACUAAAAAUCAAAGAAUGAAUGGGUGAAGGAUGUGGAGAAAACAAUAGUUGAGAAGGCAUGUAUGCGGGAUUCGUGAAUUGGGGAAGAAGGCUAUUGCAAAUCAUGAUGUACACUGCUCACCAAAGAGGGUAGUGGGAGGGGCAUUUUGAGGCAAAUGAGCUGUUUGAAACUACAAUUCAUCCCUGGAGAUAUUCUCUACGCCUUCACAAGGUUGAAGCAACACCAUUAAUUCAGGUCAAAAACAAGUGUUAAAUACCCCUCGAAAAUCUGUCGACACCCACAUAUUAAUUUAUUCUUUAAAAAAUAGAACUUAAAUAUGGAAGGGCAAAAUGACCUUCUCUUCAUCCUUCUUCCUAUCAAAUUUGAUAAAUUGAUGAUGAAAGCUAUAUUUUGUAUUAUUUCUUUUUGAACUUUAUACAAAAAUGUAAAUGAAUUGUAUAAGGAAAGAAAUGAAUAAUAUUCCUAAGAUAUUGGAAAGUAUCCUAAAAUGAAGAGAAUCAAAUAUUAUUAAUAUUUUAAUUUUGUGAGAAUUAAAUAUUUCUAUAUUUUGUGAGAAUCAAAUAUUAUUAAUACUUGAUUUUCUCUAGAUUUAUGGAAAUAUUGAUGGAAGUGUCUUCUUACCCUUUAUGUGCUUGAUUAUGUGUAUUUCCUCAAGUUAGAGUGAGAACAAACAUGGACGUCUAAUUUGUUCAAAGAUUUGGUAAAAAUAUCAGCAAGUUGAGAAUGUGUAAAAACAUAGUGAGUAACAAGAGUGCGCAUAGUUACCUUAUCUCAUACAAAAUGAUAAUCAAACUCAAUAUGUUUAGACCAAACAUGAAACAUGGGAUUAACAAACAUGUAAAGAGCACUAACAUUAUUACAAAAUAAUUGUGGUGAUUUAGAGAGGGACACACUAAUAACUCGUAAAAAAUAAGUAAUCUAAAUUAACUAUGCUAUGGAGAAAGCCAAAGAGCGAUGCUCAACCUCAAUGCUUGAGCAAGCAACAACUAGUUGUUUCUUUGAACACCAAGAGAUACAAUUUGCUCCAAGAAAAACACAAUAACCCAUGGUGCUCCGUCUUGCAGCAGGACAACCUGCUCAAUUAGCAUCACUAAACCAAUAAAAGAGAUAUUGGAUUGGUGGAUAGGUAACGUAAACCAAAGUAUUGGGUUCCUUUAAGAUAUCUUAAGAUACCCUUUAUAGUUGUCAAGUAAGCCAUAAUGGGGUUACUAAAAUAUUGACAUACCUGAUUAAUUGUCAUAUGAAAGUUAAGUAUUAAACGGGUUCAACAAUAAUUUAGAAAGUAGUAACAUCAUUUAAUACAUUGUUUGAAAGAGAAGACUCGUUAGUAAGAACCUGAGGUGGGGCAACAUGAUUACUAUUAAACAUCUUAGUUCUUGAAAGUAGGUCACGUAUAUACUUUUGUUGAGAAAGAAAAACUCCUUCAUCAAAAUAUUUAAUCUCUACAAUAAGAAAGUAACGUAGAAGGCCAAGAUUUUUAUUUGCAAAUUCAUGGCUGAGUUGUGCAAGGAGACUUGUAAUAAGAAGACUUGUAAUAAAUUGGUUAUUGUUACAUACAAGAAGAACAUCAUCCACAAAAAUGAGGAGAAUUGUAGUUAUGUCAUGAGUGCAAUAAAUAAACAAUGACGAGUUCACUUUAUUGCAAUAGAAACCAAAUCGGAGCAAAAAUUGUGAAAAGUGAUUGAACCAAGCACAAGAUGCUUAUUUCAAACCAUAUAAUGAUUUCUUUAAUAAAUACACAUAAUCAGGAAAAAGAAAAUUAAUAAAGCCUGAAGGCUACUCCAUGUAGAUUGUUUCCUUUAGUUGCCCAUGCAAGAAUAAUUUUUUUAUGUCCAAUUGGUGCAUGCUCCAAUUUAAAGAAAGAGAUAGAGCUAUGACAAGACACAUGGUGGUUGGUUUAACCACAAGGUUGAAAGUUUCAUUUAGUCCACUUUUGAUACUUGUAUGAAACAUUUUGCAACCAAGUGAGUCUUAAAACAAUCGAUAAAACCAUUUUCUUUAUACUUAAUAUGAUUUACCCAUUUGGAGCUAACAACAUUGAUUCCAGAUGGUGAGAAACAAACUCCUACAUGUUAUUAUCAUGAAAUGCUUGAAGUUUAUCUUUCAUGACAUCAGUCCAACUUAAAUCCUUGAGAGCGGUCUUUAAGGUCUUUGACUCAAAUGAAAUGAGAUCAUAUACACGAGAAGAGGUUGGUGAUGAAAUGGGAAGAACAAUAUAGUCACUGAGGUAAAAAGGUGGCGUUCUAACUCAAACAAGUUUAGUUUAUGGCACUAACUCAAUUGGAGAGACUCAUGAAAUGUCAUCAUAUUCAAAUUUAGCUUCAGUUGAAGGAGAAGAAUGUGUAAGACCUUCAUCCACAGUUGGAAUCAAAUUCUCUAAAGUUGAAGUAUAUGGAACCAUUGGAAUAAAGGUAGAAUUUGCAAAAAAAAAUUGAGGUAGUUGCACUGUUCAAGCUAAGUUGAUUUUCUUUGUUAUUUCCUACAAUAUUUGGAAUAAAAUCUACAAUAAAAUUAGGGUUACAAAAAUAAAAGGAAUCAUUUGACAAGGUAGUUUCCUUAUUAGUUGAAUCGAACCAUUCAUCCAAAUAAGGGAAGUCAAACAUUUCCAAAUUUGUAAAAUUAGAGACCACAUGUAAGGACUUGUAAAUAAUGGUGCCUUCAUCAAAGACAACAUGUCUAGAAAUACAAACCUACCUUGUUUGAGGCUCCAAGCAUCUAUAAUCCUUAUGAAUCGGGUUAUAUCUGAGAAAGACACAUAGAUAAGUCUUGUUGGUAAAUUUUGAACCAUAUUGAUAAUGUAAUGAUGAAAAACAUUGACAUCCUAGUACUCGUAAGCCAUUGUAAUCAGGAUGCUUUUUGUAGAGCUUAAAGUAAGGGAUAACAUUGUUAAUAGUUGAGGAGGGCAACUUGUUUAUAAGAUACACAGUUGUAAGAAAGACUUCAACCCAAGGAGAUAAUGACAAGGUGGCAUGAAAAAACAUGGUCAAUAAGGUUUCAACAAUAUGUCAAUGUUUUCACUCGACCAUUUCGUUUUGUUCAAAAGGUCCAAUACAUGAACAGGUAGCUCCAUUCCAUUAUUCUAAAGAUGCUUAAGAAAAAUAUUAGAGCUAAAUUUCCUCCACUUUCACAUAUGAAAUGCUUUAAUUCUUUGAUUAAAUUGAUAUUCUACCAAAUUUUGAAACUUAUGAAAACAAACAGAAAAUUCAAAUUUCCAUUUCAAAGAAUAAAACCAUGUGAAUCAUGAAUAAUCAUUGACAAAUAUUGCAUAAAAAUGAAAAUGUUGAUUUAUAGUCACAGGAGCUGAGCCCCAAAGAUCACAAUUAUCAAGAGGAAUUUUAGAAAAUUUAUUUGAAUAAUAGAGAGACAAUUUGCAACUCUACCCCAUUUGACAACUAAUAUAAAUAGAAGGUUUAGUUGCUCAAUGGGUUAUAUCAAUAAAUUUCUAUUCCUUUAAUAAGGAAAGAAUUUUUUAGUUUGGAUGUCUAGGUUGUUGAUGCCAAAUUGAUAAAGAACCAUAUUUCUUUAUUGCACUAAAUGCCUCUUAAUUGUUUCCAUUUAACAUAUAUAGUUGUCUUUUCUUAUGCCUCCUUGUUAUUGUCCUUUAAUUUUAGUCCUUAACAACAAAGUCAGAUGAGGUGAAUUCAAAAGUACGUAAAUUAUUUGCAGUAAAUUUUUUAAUAGAUAACAGAUUUUUCUUUAAAUAAGAAACUUCUAACACGUCUUUUAAAUCCAAUUUUCCUCCAUUAUUCCAAUAUGAGAAAUAUGUAGACUAUUUUCAUUUCCAACAUAAAUAACAACAUUCCCAUCAUAUGAUUUAAUAUGAAAAAUUUUACUUGCAUUGUUGGUCAUCUGUGAGGUAGCACCGGAAUCAACAAUAAAUAACUAAUCAUUUGAGUCAUUCAUGGCAAGAGUAGCAAUAACUUGUGGAAAAUCUUUAGAUUGGUAGGAAUAAUCUAAUCUAUACCAACAAUCAAUAGCAAGAUGAUUUGGUUUUCCACAUAUUUGACAAGUUACUUUACUAUUAUUAUUUGAGCUAGUAGGACGUUGUUGUUGAUGCCUUUUUUUUGGUUGAAUUGUAUUGUUAUUUGACCAUUUAGGAAUGUUGACAUUGCUUUGAGGAUUAUGGUUGCCAUUAUAGUGCUUAAUAGGUGUGAAUCCUCUUCCCUUUGAGUUGAAAUUUCUUUUACCCACUCGGCCAUUUUGAUCACGACCUUGUUGUCCAAAGAAAAAUUGUGCAUGCUUUAAUAAUAUUUUCUCUUCCUCUUUUUGGGUGGUGAGUGAUUGUUUAUGUCCUUGAAGAGCUAGCAUAAACUAGUUAAAGAAAUGAUAAGGUGGUUUAAUAAGCAUAACAAGUAAAAAAAUUUCAUUCCUUGUCCUAAACCAUGAGCUAAUUGAAAAACUUUAUCUUGGUUUGAAAUUGGCUUUUUGACUAUAACAAGAUUGUCACAUAUAUUUUUGAAGUUUCUUAAAUAUUCUUCAAAAAACAAUGACCUCUUGUUGAGAGUCAUCAACAUAUUUUUCAAAUUCUUUUCUUUUUUUACUAUAAUACAAAACAAUUGCUCUUCAAAAGACGUCCAAACUUCAUAUGUUAUUUCAACACCAAAGAUCAUGCUCAAAACAUCUUCUUUCAUAAUUCCAAGAAGCCAUGAAAUAAGAAGUCUAUCGUUAUUGAUCCAUAGUUGGUAUUGUGGGUUAGGACUUUUGAUUUUUUCAUCAUCUUUAAUUUUUUCAGUAUGUUUUUCUCCAUUUAAUAGAUGAUGGAGAACAUCGAGGCUACGAACAAAGGCAGUGAUUUGACUUUGCCACCGUAAGAAAUUUGUGGUGUUUAACUUCAUAGAGAUGAAACUAGAACAUUGGUGAAAUGACUAAGUAUUGAGUCCAAGUUCUAUGUUUAGGAAAGAGGAAAAGAAUGAAGAAGAAGAUAUAUAUAUUCCAAGCUUGAUUUUCAUAAUACCAAUUCUUGGGUUUGUUAUGAUACUUGGGUAUUACAUUUUUGGGCUUUGUUUUCCGCAUGCUUAUUUAGGCCUAAUUAAGUUUGUUCAACAUUGGAUUGGGCCUAUUUACUAAUUAUAUUGGGGCUGUAUUUCCUUACUAAUCCAUUUUUUUUAUUAAAUAAAAAGUUCAAAAUCAAUUUUUUUUCUAAAAAAAUAUUUUAAUGAAAUAACAAUUUAGAAAAUAUUCCUUUUAAUAAAAGUCUGGACAGUUCUCUUAAUAAAAAGUUCAGAAAAAAAUGUUUUUAGACGAAUUUUAAAAACUAUUUUUAAUAAAAACUUGGAAAUUUAUUUGUUUAAUAAAAUUGUCAAGACAGUUAAUUUUUAAAUAACAUUAUUCAAAAGGUUAAUUUUUAAUAAAACAGUUCAAAUUUUUUAUUUUUAAAUAAAACUCCAUAAUUUUUAUAAAUUAAAAUUAUAGAAUCAUUUUCUUAAUAAAAUUGGAUUGAAAAUAUUUUUGUAUAUGAAAAAAAUCAAUUCAUUUGUAAAUAAAAUCAAAUUGGAACAUUCUUUGUUAUUAAAUUUGUAAUUUUUUUUUUUAAUAAUUGGUGUAAAUCUUGUUUCUAAAUGAAAUCCAAAAUCUUUUAAAUAAGAAUAUAAUUUAACGAAUUUUAAUGUGAAAAAAAAAAUUCUUAAUAAAAUUGGGAUCUUGGAAACAAAUUUGUGAAAUUUCUUUCCCUAAAUAAAUAAAUUGAUAAUAAAAAAUAUAUUUUAAAAAAAUUAAAUCCAAAAAUAAUCUUUUUAAUAAAAUUGGGCUGAAAGUCCAUUUUAUAAACUUAUAUAUAUCUUUCUUUAAGUAAGUAGAAAAUCAUUUUUUAAAAAACAAAAUAUGAAUCAAAACACUUUUGAAAAUAAAUUUAUAAAAAUACAUUCUAGAAAAGCAAACAGAAUCAUUUUUUUAUAAAUAAAAUCAAAUUGAACCUUUUUUUUUUUUUGUGAAAUUGUAUUCAAUAAAUUCUUUUUAUAAAAGAUAAGAGAAAUUCUUUCAAAAUAAAUUUGAAUGUGAAUAAUAGUUAAGUCUUUUGCAAAUAAAUAAAUUAAAAUCAUUGAAAUUGUUUUUAAUGUAAAUAUAUUCUUUCAAAAUUCUUUUAAAUUAUGUUGUGAUUUUUUGAACAAUAAAACUUUUUUUUUUCUAAUUAAUUUAAUAAAUCAAUUUAUAUAAUUCUCCAAAUUAGUUUUGUCGUAUAUUUACAUCUUACUUUUCUUGAUAUUUGUAUUUAAUUAAUCAAUUGUCACAAUUCCCUCAAUUUGUUUAAUAAAAAUAAUAUGUAUAGAAGAUUAAAGAGUUGUUACGGUUUAUCAUUGCAUCUUCCAGAUGGUAACCUGACUUCCAAUUUUAUUUAUUUUUAUUUCACAAACUUAUCUUUUCCAAAUAAAGUCAUAUAGAAUUUUAUUUCUUAUUUUGUUUCCCUUAUAAAAAUAUACUAAAAUAAGUAAUAACUCCGAGUUUUUUAAAAAUGUAAUUUUUAACAAAUAAAAACAAAUCUCUUCAUAUAAUGAAUUUAAUGAUAUAUUAUGACAUGAUGGUGGGUCAAUGGAUAAUAUCUAAAUGUAGAUAACAAGUUGUUAUAGAAUUAUGAUAUCUUUCAUAAGAUAGGGGGAAAACCUUCUUUAAUUUAUCUUAAUUGUGUAUAUGUGUUUUAAAGUGGUAAAAUUUCAUUGAGGUUGAGUACCAAUAUCUACAUGAAAAGGAUGAGUAUUACAAAUGAUAUCAAAAUUUAUCAUUGACUUUGACUUUGACUUAGACUUAGAACUGUAAGUUAAUGUUUUGAAAGGAUGUUACGAGAGAAUGCCAUAACAAAUGGUAUUAAAGACUUUGGUAGCAUAUUACGAGGUUUAAUGUUUAUUGCAAUAAAAUUAGGGAAUUAUGAUACUUGUUACUUUCUUUAUUUGAAGCUUUUUGGCCCUUCUAUGUUUUAUUAGGGUGAAAGAUGAUUCAUUCAUAAGAAGAAAACAAAAGAAAAUCUAGAGAGCUACCCUUUUUUUUUUUUUUUUGGAUUUUACAACAGAAAAGAAUCUAAAUAACCUUUAAAAAUAUAGAGCAACAAAUUUAAUCAUUGAAGAACUCUUUUAUUAAAAAUUUAUCUAGAUGGGUUAAAAUGUGCAUAAUGGAAGGAGUAUCUUUAAUUGAUCUUGUAGGUUGGGCGUGAUCUAGACCAUGGAGGGAAGGCUUUUUUGUUUUUUUGUUUUUAUAUUCAUACCUUUUGUUAUCCUUUGUAUAUAGGACUUGGUGUAUAGUUAUUUAUAAUUUUAGUGAUAUAUACUCUCCAUUUUCUUAUAUAGUUACUUCUUCUUUCAAGUGGAAGAUAACCCCGAGCAAUUGUCGAUUUUUUUCUAUCAAUUAUGGCUCUCCCCUCACUACCCCGUGGGAUGAGUUCACGCUUACCUAGUCAAUACUUAAAUUGGAUUCUACCUCAAUUUUUCUAAUUUACCCCAACAUUUUUCACUUAUUUGUGGGCAAUUUUUGGAUAUCAAACGCUUCGCUAACUAUACAUUUAAAACCCACCUCAAAAAGCACGUCGUUUUAUGAAUCAUGUUUCAUUAAUUUUCAUUGAUUUUGUCUUCAUAAAAAAUGGGUCUCAAAUCCUCUACCCAAAAAGAAAAAGAAAAAAAAAGGAUAGGCAAUAUAUGCGGACAACAUGAAUCAUUGAAGAACUCUUUUAUUAAAAAUUUAUCCAGAUGGGUUAAAAUGUGCAUAAUGGAAGGAGUAUCUUUAAUUGAUCUUGUAGGUUGGGCGUGAUCUAGACCAUGGAGGGAAGGCUUUUUUGUUUUCUUUUUUUAUAUUCAUACCUUUUGUUAUCCUUUGUAUAUGGGACUUGGUGUAUAGUUAUUUAUAAUUUUAGUGAUAUAUACUCUCUCUUUUCUUAUAUAGUUACUUCUUCUUUCAAGUGUAAGAUAAUCCCGAGCAAUUAUCGGUUUUUUUCUAUCGAUUAUGACUCUCCCCUCACUACCCCGUGGGGAUGAGUUCACGCUUACCUAACCAAUACUUAAAUUGGAUUCUACCUCAAUUUUUCUAAUUUCCCCCAAUAUUUUUCACUUAUUUGUGGGCAAUUUUUGGAUAUCAAACGCAACUCCAAAAAGGAAAAAAAAAAAAGAAAAGGAAAGGAUAGGCAAUAUAUGCGGACAACAUGAUAUGAAAAACUCGAAAAAUAAUAAAAUUCAACGACGCAGAGAUCUACUAAAUGCCUUCCAAGACACGAGGUCCUUAUGAUCCGGUACCCCUCUCCUUCCUCCCUUUUUCCCAAAAACUGGACUCAGCAACUUCUUCAGCACCCUCUUGAACCCGGACCCACGACGCCCACGUCGCACCUCCGCCCCCACCGCAGGCGGCUGAGGCAGGGGCGCAAAUGACCGAGCCGCCCCUGGCUCCGACAGGCUCCGACCCAGCAUCGCCCGCGUCAGCUGCAACUCAAAUGACAGCCUCUCGAACUGGUCCAACAGUGUGCUCUGCUCGUCUCCAAAUUUCCCAACAACAGCCGCUAUUUCUUCCAUUCUCUUCAUAUCGACCAUUAAGCUUCAAUCACAUUCACAUCAAACUCCUUCUGAUGGGUUCACAAAGUAUUUAUUGGAUGGACAAAGGUACAUGAAUAUAGAACAGUUUGCUCUCUACUUUUAUAUGCUGACAGCAGCUGGUUGCAUUUAUUUGACAGUCCUUGGAAAUUGAAAAUAUUCAAAUAUCGGUUUAUUUGAAUGCUUUCCAAGGAUAAUUCUUAUUAGAGUUUCAAUCACAACCUUAAACCCCAUGGCAAGAAUUCCUUGGGCAAAACCGGGCCAAACACUUUAUUCUUUCUUGCAUCACACAAGUUAUGUUUUGUUCCUACAAGCUUCUUCCACACAAAAGCAUUAUAGAUUGUAAAAAUAUAAAAAUGCAGUCCUAAUAUUCUAAUUCCAACAAAGAAAUGUCACAAAUAAAAAGAGUCAAUUUGGUAACUAUUUUUUAAAACAGUUUUGAAAAAUAGUUUUUAAAAACAGUGUUUAAAAACGGUUUUUUAAUGUUUAUAAAAUAAAAGUUUGAGUGCAUUUCAUAAUGAUUUUAGAAAGUGUUUUUAAACUUUCUUAUACUUCAAAAUUUUUAUCUUUCAAGUAUUAAAAAAGAUAAAAACACUUUUUAAAAUCGUUAUCAAAUGCACAAAUUACUUGAAAACCGAAAUUAUUUUUAAAUUAUAAAUAUUUUAUUUUUAAUCAUUCUACAUGUUUAUAUAAUUAUUUUUUAAUACAACUAUUAGAAAACAAGUGAAAAUAAUAUAAAACAAUUUUAAAAAGUUCUUUAAAAAUACCAUAUUUUUUGUUUUUAAAUAGAAAACAGUUUUUUGUUACAAAACAUGUUUUUUUUUAUUUUUUAUUAAGAAUAAUACAAAAAAUUGCUCCCGAAAACAAUUGUCAGACAAGUCCAAAGUAUCCACUUUAUUUUUCCUUGCGAUAACAAUAUAACCACCUUUAGUCAAGCCUAAGCCAACUGAUUAGCCUAAGAAUUUAAUAGGUAUAUUAUCUUUGUUGUUAAUAAAUACAAUUACAAAGUUUUUAAAAAUAUAUAUAUAAUUAAUUUUAAAAAAUAAUUAAAAUUUGUUUUUUUAGAUAAGUUUUAAGGGAGAUAAAUUAUGUAUAUUUAUUUUAUGUGUGCUAACUACACGUAAUUAAAAAGCGGCCCAAGCUUGGAGCCCAGUAGUAUAUUUUGGAUGGGUUUCGUUGAUAUCGUGGACCAUUUCUCGGGGUUAAAUGAUUGGGCCAGACCAUGGGCUGGGCUCGAAUUAAAAAAGUCUGUUCAAGGCCCAGUCUAGACGGAUCAGGCUCGGCCUAGGGGGGAAAUGGGUUUGGCUUGAGGUUUGUAAAUGAGUCCGACAUAUAGGAAUUGGAAUGAAGGCCCAUUCGGCCCAUAAAACCCGAACUGUCGAUUCUCGCUGAUUCACCCACUCAAUUGCGUCAUGGUGAGCUGGUGGUUCUCCACUUCCACUGGUUUUGAAUCGAAAACAAAAACCUAAACUUCGAUCUCCUUAUACCCUCAAUAACUCCUUCCUUUAUUUAAUGCGUGAAGUCUAAGCUCAGUGAUUCGAUUUCAGUUGCUAUUGGCUAAGGACUUGUAAUUUUCCAGGAAAAGGAGGUUGUUUUCAUGAUCACAAGUCUGUUUGGAUGGAUAGAAAUGAAUUUCUUCCUGUGAUUUUCUUGCUUUUUCUGGUUGUAAAUGUUUCUGGUGGUUCAGUAGCUGGUAAGUUCCGAAAAUUGGCUGAUGCUGAGCCAAAGGAGGAUUCCACUGCAACCAAGGUAGUACUGAAAACAAUUCUCUGAUUAGAAUUGCUUAUUUUGAAGUGAAAUAAUGAUUGCGAUUCUGAGACGUAAACCAUUGUUUUUAGAUUGAUCCGCCGCCGUCUCCAGUUUCUGUUGGCAAUCAAUCGGAGCCAAAGCCGAUUGAUCCAGGCAAACUCGGGAAGGAGAAAUCUAAGGAUGCCCCAGUACCCACCACCAACUCUUCAAAAGCAGAUUCAAAAGGGAAGCAAAAAGAGAAAAAUGAUGAUAAAGCCAGUUCAGAACUGGGAACAUAUGGGACUUGUGAUGGGUUACUUGAGAAGUGCACGGACCCCAAGAAAAAGAUGAUUGCUUGCAUUCAAAGUUUUGAAAAUGGUAUUUUCUCAUGGAUUAUGGUUUUGUUGCAAUGUGGUGUUGCUUUAGGUAGAAUGAUUCUGUACUUGCAUUUAGUAUCAGUUUUAGUGAAUGGGGUCUGCAAGUCUCAUUUUGGAAAACUACUAAGAGCAAUAUCAAAUUAAAUGAACUAAAUUUUUAUUGACAAGAUUUGUUGGGUAUCAUACUGAGUUGUUAUCUAAAUACUAUUGUCUUGUCAAAACUUUUGAUAUAGAAGUAUUUCAGAUAUAGGGCUCAAGUAUUUUGUUAUAUUAGUAUGAGAAUAUGAUGGCUUAAACGCAUUGAGAAUUGAGAUAAAUGGCAGAUUCAGGGCUAGACAACUGUGGAACAUCCAUGCUGGAAUUUUAGAGCUAGCAGCUCAUUAACACUUGUACAACUUAGAGACUUUACUAUUUCAAAUGUUGAGUAUAAAGUUUGGCAGGCAUGUGUAGGAGUCUAAAUGAUGUCAGUAAAACUGUUACUGCUUCUGGUAGAACAAUUUUGGACUUCUUGGAGGUGCAUUUGCUUGGUAGCAAGCACCAUAUCUGAAAUUACUUAUUGGGUCGAAAGGUGGCAGUCAGGAAGUGCAAUUUAAAUAGAACAGCAAUUGGAUUGCAAUGUUGACAACAAAAUAAAUGGUUUAGCUUCAAGCUUUUCUAUUACAUAAUAUGGAGGAAAUCAGGAAUUCAAAAUUCCACUCUUAUUAGUGAGCGGUAACCUGGUUACUGUGGUUACCAUUCUCCCUUGUGUAUCAUUUCCACUUUUCUGCUUGUGGAGUUAGAUGCAGCAUUCUCCUGUAGUCUGAAUAGUUUCAAUGGGGAUACCGAAACAAAUGCAUUUUUAGCUAUUUUCUUUGUACUUCAUAGUUUUUUUUAUAAGCAAAAUAUUGGAAGUGGACUAUAAUUUAAAGCAUUUCAUGGUUCCUGUUUUAGAACAAUCACAGUGGAUUCUAAUCUUUAGGUGUCUAUGUUACAGCUGUCAAACAGAACUUAAUAUAUUAGUUAAAAGCACGGAUUCCUUUUUGAGAUAUUGAAUUGUGUUGAUGUUUAUUCUAUGAUAUGUUGGAUACUCCUCUAUCAACAUUUAUUGGCAUGUCAAUCACUAGUUAAAGUGUAAAUCUGUCUAUGAGGGUAAAGAGCAACUAAAGUGUAACUUUGAACACAAGUGUCUGCUUUUGGUUCGGAAACUUCAACGGGUCUACAUUUGUUUAUUUCAGAAUUGUGUGGAAGGAUAUGUGAUUGUCCUGCUUAUGUUUUGGAAGCUAUUGAUAUUUGUUUUUUGUAUUGGCCUUGAGUCCUAUCUAAAGUGCAAGAUGAUGGAGAAGGUUCCAGGUUUUAUUCCCAUUUAAAGGCCAAAUAGAAAAAACUAUAAAAAAAUUAUAUUUUUAGAUUGAUUUCUAUUGUUAUUUCACAUGCACAGCCUUAGAGGCAUGCUGAAUAUAUUCUUGUUCAUAUAAAUUUGUUCAAAUCCAUACUCAAGACUCAAACCAAUGUGAAUAUUUUUAUUUAUAUAGAUUCAUGAGUGCACAUAUGCACAAACAUAUCCUCAUCUCAAUGUUUUGAGGAGUUCUUAUCUCUGUGCUCCAAGUCCACAUGAGUGUGUGAUAGUUGUCCAUGCCUGCAUUCUUGGCUUUUAUUUCUUUCUGAGUGUUUAAGAUGUGUUAUUGGACACAUUCUUUAAUAACAUUUUGUUUCUUAUAAAGGAUUGAUGUCUCACUGGGCAUUGACUUUCUACUAAGCUAUAUCUGAUUAGGAUGGUUUCUGCAGUUCUACGUAGGAUGAGUUAGUACUUCUGAUGCUAUAUUAUUCUGUGUGGGUGCUUUUUUUGUUGUGAUAAGCUUUAGGCAUGUUUAGUCACUCAAAUUAUCUAUCUCAAAUGGCCUCAAAUAUAACCUCCUGUAUCCAUUUUUGCUACCCUUUAGUGGGCCUUGGGUUCUUUUGCCAUCUUUCGAGUAACUUGUUAUUAAGGAUUCAAGGAAGCUAAUAAAACAUCAUUUAAUGUCUUCUGCAAAUUUGGAAUGCUGUCUGAGUGUUUGUCGGUUAACUUAUUUUCUGUUAUAUUUGUUGUUUAUUGACAUGGAUUCAAUUCCCCACAGAAUAUUGUGUUGAUAUACCAUUAGUUUUACAUAUUUCUUGUCAAGGAGAGAGUUCUUCAUUGCCUUCCAUUUUCCUUUGUAACAGGAUCCAAAGCCCUCAUUGUCCAAAAUGAAGGAGAGAACACUUUGAAAGUGAAUCUUACUGUCUCGGAUUCUGUGAAAGAUGCUUUGGAGGUUCUAGUAAUACCAAAACAUCAAACUAGAAGUGUAUGGGUCCUUUCUCUUCUGCUACUUUGUCUUUUUCUUUUGAUCGUUAUGAAAGCCAUUGGAAAAAGAAUGAUGGCAUGAACCUGAAAUACAAGCCUUUCUGAUGGAACACUACUGAACUACUGUUCAUAUGAUGGUUUUUAAUCUUAGUGUAGUAUCAAAAGUGUCACCAGUUUCUAUUGCAUGCAUUAAAUAGAAACAUUGUCAAGUAAUAAUGACGAGGAAAAAUAAGCUUACAAAAAUAGUCUAUUUUUGGGUGGUUUUAUAGGAAAUCGCAUGAGAUGACAUGGUGGGGUAGUGGAGUGGGGUAUGAUUUCUUUUUUUGCUGUUUCUUGGAUGAAAUGAUAAAGCAAGGUUGAUUCAUGUGUUCAAUUUUUCAGCUUAGAUGAGAUUCAUGUUCUAGAAUUUUAACAAAUUCACUUAUUUGUGUCUUUACUGUAUUGGUGUUAGAACCAGAGAAUUGGAAAGAGGUAAUAUCUCUGAUAAGAGAAUAAAAAACACUAGGGACUUCAAUGCGCAGCUUGGUAGGGCACAAUGGAGGGGUGGUUUUGCAUAAAUCAUUGUCUGAUCCUUUUCAGUGUUCUGUUCUCAAAUAUGAGUAUUCUUGCUUUCUGUUAAUAUGGCAUAUCUAUUCCACUCCUUUUCUAGAUCAAAAUCCUCCUCUAAAAUAACCAAAUUGUUUUUAUAACUGAUAUAGAGGAUCACCUCCAGAAUUAGAUGAUUCCUAAAACUUCUUCAAAAGUAGUUUACAAUAGAGGAACUUUGGAGUCCUGGCCACGAGGACUUUGAGGAAUCAUCCAAUUUUGGAGAUGAUCCUCUAUUUCAGCUGUAGAAAUAAUUUGUUUAGAGGAGGAUUUUGGUUUUGAAAAUGAGCGGAACAGAUAUUUCAUAUGAAAAGAAAGAAAGAAUACUCCAAUUUGAGAACAAAACAGUGAAAAAAAUCAAACAAUGAUUUCAAAAAAACUUCCCUUCCUUGGGUCUUACCAAGCUAUGCACUAAAGUCCCCAAUGUUUUCUAUUUUGUAGUCAAAGAUAUUAUCUUUUUCCGUUCUAUAGCUCUGAUACAAUUCCAACAUUCCUAAAUGGAUAUAACAUAAAAACAAUUCAAAAUUAAAAUCUGAAAUACAAAAAGAAAAUAGUAGUAAGAGAAAUCUUACAUUCAAACUUAAAGAUAACUUUUGAUACAAGAAGCUCACACCAAGAAUACAAGAAGAGGUUACUUUAUAUAAGAGAGCUACAAUAAUUAAUGGGGUCCUUCAGAGAUUAGAAAAGAUAGCCUAGAUAAAAGAGAAACUAUGUGAACUUUGUCGCGUCUUGGGUAAGCAAUAAUGCUUUGGCAGAGUUGUACAUAAUCAUGUGAAUAGGGUUGAAUAUCGUCAAAAGCAACUUUUGCACAAUUGUCCCCUAUAUUCCAUUUGACAAAGACCAUGUGAAUGCACCUAAGAGCAAAUUGUGCUUUUACCAUCUAUCUAGAUUCUUUUAAUUAUCAAGAUUUGAGAUAAAUCUCCUUCAUAGAUAUCAUCCAAGUUUAUUGUGGUUCUAGAAGUAGAAAGGGAAUAUGCUAGAGAAGAGUAAUUUUUCUCUGAGUUCUUCAUAUGAUAACCCUUUCACCUUUUCUUUUCUUAAAGAGACUAGGUCUUUAUCCGUAGUGGUUGAAGAUGAACCAAUCAUUCUAAGUUUAGGCUAGAUAAGAACAACAUUAAAGAUUGAUGGUUUAAGAUAGUCAUUCAAAUUUUGGCCACUACCUAAUUGAGAUCCUUCUUUGAAGUUUAGGCAUUGUAGAAGAGAUAUCCUCCCAUUUAGCUAUCCAUGGAAUUUCCUAGAAUGUCGCAAGGUGUAGGAAGGCGUCAUCUUCAAACAGUACUCCUUGAUUUCUCUUACAAAAUUUUCUAAAGGAUUUUUGAACUUCUUUUGGGAAAAUGUCAUUAGUCAUUCCCUAAUAAAAACAACCAAUCUUUGAACCAAUUUGGAAAAUUCAUUAGUUUGUCUAGUAAUUGAAAUUGGAUGAACCAGCUAUGAGCUAUCUUAUCAUUUUGAAAUGAUAAUAUGGGAAAUAAUCCCAAACAUGAAUAUAAUUAUGGUAAUUGAGAGCUUUUGGGAAAAUAUUUUUAUUUUUGGAAUACUUAAGAUUUUCCUAGGUCAAAGCCCCAUCCCAAGGUAGAUAAAAUCUUCUUUAUCAAGACUUUAGAACAAGCAAUAUUAUGCUCAUUGCAUGAUAUUGAAAUUAUGAGUUAAUUGAAUUUAAGAUUGCUUCAUAGAAUUUUCUGUUUUUUGGAAGAAGGUUAGAAUUGAAAUGAUCUGUUAGAUAAAGCUUGGCUAAUUCAAUAACUCUCUUAUUAGAGUGUUCAUCCUCAAUAGUUAUUUCAACUUUACAAAAUUUUUCUGUUGUAGAAGGCAUAUUAGCCUCAAAGGAAGAUUCUUGCUUCCAUUCGUAAAGUGGCUUUGUUGGUCUCUUUGGAGUUCUACAAGAAUUCACGAUUGAGGAAGUCAAACAAACAAUUGGCUUCUUUAAUGUGUUAUAUGUCAAAGUCAAAGAUUGUAAGUAGGGCUUGCCAUCUAGCACAAAUUUGUUUUGAUGCUAAAUUUUUUACAUCCUUUGUUAAAACUUCUUUUGCAUUCUUGCCAUAGUUAUUAAAAACUUAUGAUACAAGAUAUGAUACAAAGAUACGAUACAUUUUUAUGGAAAUCGAUAUGUAUCACAAUCCGUAUCUUAGUAUACAUAUACAAUACACAAUAUGAUACUUGAUAUUACAAUACAAUGAUAUAUAUAUCCUCAAUUAUUUUGUAUAAUUUUUUUAAAAAAUAAAAUUAAUUUUCUUUUUGUUAAAAGAAUUCAUUAUGUUAAUUGUUUAAAAGGAGAAAUACGUAAAAUAAUCUUAUAUGAAAAGUUGCAUUCUUGUUGUCAUAUGUUAUAUCAAAAGUCAAAUAAGUUUAUCUUUAUAAUGAAUAUUGGAAAAUUUUCAUUUGAACGGUUUGAAUGUUGACAAUGAAAAUAAUAGUUAUUAGUGAAUAAAUUUUUUUACUUAAUAUAUUAGUUUUUUUUUAAUUUCUUUUCUAGUGGAAAAGUAAUGAUGAUGAACCUAAAAGCUAGAAAUUUGAAAAUGACACAUAAAGGCAUAUAUGUAACAACACCAUAGGUGCAUAUACCUAGUUAGAAUUUGGAAUUAAAAUUUAUAGCUAAAAAUUGACUAAGUUUAUUUUUGUGGAUUAUGUGAUGAGCUUAUAUAUUAAAGUUAUAUUUUGUUAAUUUGAACUUGUCAAAAUUUUAAUAUUCAAUGUUUUCAUAUGAUAAAAUAUAGUUUAACUCUUUAGAUUAUACUAUCUUCCAUAAAAUUGGUUAUCUAUUACUUUGUAAUCCAUAUUUUCAAUAGAUAUUCACACACACACACACACACACACAUAUAUAUAUAUAUAUAUAUAUAUAUAUAUAUAUAUACUCACUUUAUUAAAAAACUUACAAUACACGAUAUGAUAUGAUGCAUGAUACAAAAAAACAAAAAAAAACUAUAUACGAUAC
rnacentral:lncRNA from 1 species